GUUUUUAUGUUGUCUAUAGACUCUAUACUCUAGAACUUGACAAAUGCUCACUAUGAAUAACUACACUUGUCUUCCUAAUAGGUUUUAAAGGACAAUAAAAAUUUUCAAAACUACUUUCAUUGUUAAUUUCCUUGUGUAAAGCAUAACUUCCUAAAAAGGCCAAGGAUUUUGCAAUACAAAAAAGGAAAAGGAAAAGAAAUGUGAUUAUGUUAGCACUUUUUUUUAAUCUUUUUUUUUCUUUUUUAUAAAUAGAGAAUGUUGAUACAUGACACUCGCAUAUAUCAAAGUAUCCCGGGUUAAGGUUUCUGAUAAGGAAUUGCAGAGGACGACUUCUGAAAAUGUAGGAACCACGCGCCGCCGCGAAAUCCAGAGAGCGGUGGAGAUCCGUAAUGGCUUCGUCCCCUCUUCACCUUCCUGUCGGCUGUGAGCAACUCCGUUACCUCCAAAAACCCAAAAACGCAACAAGCAAUUCUGUUUUCGUUUUUCUUUGUUUACAGAUCGGCUUCUCUUCCUUCCCCUUUUUCAGAUCUGCUUCUCUCUUUACAGAUCUGUUUUUUCUUUUUGUUUCCCCUUCUUCUCUGUUUCAGGUGGCCGGCGCUAUGACCAAGGAGCUGCUGGCGACUGUGUUUCUGUCGCGUCUGUGCUGCUGCUGGAGGCUGAAUGGAAGGGAGACAUGUUUCGGUCGGCGAUGGACAAGAAGAAGCUGAAACGGCCAGCAAGAGGGGAGAGUGAGGGGCGAACGACUCUGCCCUCUUUUUGGUCUUGGCGAGCUUGCGGCUGGUUCAGGAGGGAAGGGGUCUCGGGUCUGUCGGGUUGUUGGUUCAAGGGGGGGGAAUGCAGAGGUGAAGGAAAUGGGGCUUCUGGUGGAUCUGUUUUGGCUGAGAGGGGAGGCUCCUUCGGGUGCAGGGAAGAAGGCCGAGAGAGGGGAAUGGGACAGUGUGUGGCUGAAGGUUAAUAGCGGCGGUUCUUGUCUGUCUUUUGACCAGAGAGCUGAGAAGAGAAGAUGAGCGGCGGCCUUUUCAGAGAGGGUGAGGUUUAGGGUUUUUUCUUUUGUUUCCCCUCAUUUUCGGCCGCUCCUCUUUUCCUCAAAAUUUUCUCCUCCCACUCUUUUUUCACUGUAAACUGGUAUUUAUAGGAGAAGUAUGGCUUGGCCACAAUCAUAUUUGUCCCUCAACUGUUUUUUUAUUUUUUUAUUUUAAAUUUAUUUUUUUAAAAAAAAAAAACAAUAUCAACAUCUCAAUAAAAAACAUUAGUAAUUAUAAAAUUAAUGCAUUAAAAAUUAAACAUGUUUAAAAAUUUAAAUCUUUUUAGAUGGUAUUAAAAAUACUAAAAACGAUGUAAAUAUAUUAAAAAUAUAUUUUUUAAAUUUUUGUUAUUUUUAAUUUUUUCUAAAAAUUUAUCAAAAAUAUUGUUUAAAAAUUAAGUAGCAACAUCUACUAUUCUUAAAUAAAUAUGUUUAUUUUUUAAAAAAAAAAUUAUCAUAAAGAAUGUGAGAUGCAAUGCUUCUAUCAUAGAUAUGAAUAAACCUCACUUGUCUACGUAAAGUUUUUUAAGGACAAUAAAAAAAAUUAAUUUUUUUUAUUCUUAAUUCCCAUGUGUAAAGCAUACCUUCCUAGCAAGGUAAAGGAUUUCGCAACACAAAAAUGAAAAGGAAAGGAGAUGUGAUUAUUUAUGCACUUUUGUUUAUAUUUUUAUGAAAGGAAAUAUUGAUACUUUGACUUGCUAGGAAGUUAUGCUACACCCUUAAAUAAAACAACAUUUCAAUGUAUAUAACAUUUCAUUGUACAUAAAAUAUUGUGCACAAAUUCAUAAAAUGCUAUAUAUUUAGUGAAUGAAAUUAAAAAAUUCAAUAACAAUUUUAUUUAAAAUUCUUUAUUUUUCUAUUUGUGACCAACAAAUCAUUCCAAAACAAUGAAUAUUUUUUAAAAAAUAAAACUAGAUUUUAUUUGAUAGAAAAUUUGGGAUCAGUUGUAAAUCUUGUUCACAAAUCUUAGCAAAAAUUUUAAAAUAUUUUUUAUUACUGAAUUUUUUUAAUUAUUAUUUAUGAAAAUUAAUUAUUUUUUAAAAUGAUGAUGAUUACUAUGAUGUUAAAUUAUUAAUAACUAUCUAAUUAUAAAAAUUAAUUAUUCCAUACUAAAUAGAUUUUUUAUCAUUUUUUUUUGCAACCAAUAUAUGACCUCUAUAUAUAUAUUAUUAAUGUUUUUUUAAAAAAAAAAUGUUUCAAACUUGCAUUUGAAAGGUGGUCACAAUUUUUUUUGAAUACAAAAUAUUUGUUCUAAUGCAAAUGGGUUACAAAGAAAUUAGAUUUUUGUAAACAUUAUUUUAGUCUCAUACCUUGUUUGAGACCCAUUCGAACUAUACAUAAUCAACAAUUUUGUAUAGUAUAUGAUAUAUUAAUUAAUUUUUUUAUUAAUUGAUUUAUUAAUCAAAUUAAUUAAUCUAGAAUACUAUGAUGUUAAGAUUAUAAAAAUGUAAUUUUUGAUUAAUUUAGAUAUGUUAAACUCUAUAAUGUUUAAGUAAAUAUGUUUUCUUAGCUUAUCAUAAAAGAUGCUAGAGAAUCAAUACUUCUAUCAUACCCUGUUUUUUUAUAUUGUCUAUACUCUUGAACUUGACAAAUGCUCAAUAUGAAUAACCACACUUGUCUUCCUAAUAAUUUUUGAAGGACAAUAAAUUUUUUUAAAAAUACUUUCAUUGUUAAAAGGAUUUUGCAACACAAAAAAGAAAAGGAAAAGAAAUGUGAUUAUGUUAGCAUUUUUUUUAAUCUUUUUUUUCUUUUCUAUAAAUAGAGAAUAUCGAUACUUUGACACUCCUAUAUAUCUAAAUAUCUCGUGUUAAGGUUUCUGAUAAUGAAAAUGCUUCAGAGAAGGAAGCUUACGUUCAAGAUAUCCCAAACCAAGCUUCCUCAUGAUCUGCCGUGAUCUUGAUAAAUCUUAUGCUAUAACUCUUGAAGAAUAUUUGCUAUAAUUAUGCAUACCUCCUUUUCUUACUCUUUUAAACUUCCUAGCAAGGCAAAGGAUUUUGCAACACAAGAAAGAAAAGGAAAAGAAUUGUGAUUAUGUUAGCACUUUUUUUAUUCUUUUCUUUUCUAUAAAUAGAGAAUAUUGAUACUUUGACACUUGUAUAUAUCUAAGUAUCUCGUGUUAAGGUUUUUGAUAAGGAAAAUGUUUCAGAGAAGGAAGCUUACACUCGGAAAAUCCCAAAUCAAGCUUCCUUAUGAUCUGCCGUGAACUUGAUAAAUCUUAUGCUAUACUUCUUGAAGAAUAUCUGCUAGAAUUAUGCAUAUCUCCUUUUCUUACUCUUUUACUGAUGUAUUUAAAUACAAACCGUUUCGAUUAUGUUAUCCAGUACAGCAUAAUAUAAACUACAUUCUUCCCUUCUGCAAUUUUUCUAUCCUCCCGCUACAUCAAUAUUUGUCAGACUUGAAAAGUAAUUAAAUCAAACACGCACAACCCCCCCAUAUACAUAUACUAAACUAAAACAACAUUUUACUGUAUAUGUUAUGCAUACAUUCAUAAAACUCUAUUCAGUGAAGUGAAUGAAACUAAAAAAUUGGAUCACAAUUUUUUUUUAAAAUUCUUUAUUUUCUAUUUGUGAUUAGCAAAUCAUUCCAAAAAAUUAUUAUAUUUGAAAAAAAAAUUCAACAGAAUUUUAUUUGAUAGCAAAUCUAGUACUUAUUGUUUAGGUUGUAAUUAAUGUUCCCAAUUUUUAGCUAAAAUGUUUGUUUCAUUAUUGAAAAUUAUGAUUAUUAUUGAUGUUAAUGUUUUUUUUAUGAAUAAUAAUUAUUUUUAAAAAAUUAUGAUGAUCACUAUGAUAUUAGUUAGCAAUAACUAUCAAAUUAGAAAAAUUAAUUAAUCCAUACAAAAUAGAAAUUUUGUCAAUAUUUUGCGACCAAAAUAAGCGACUAUAUAUAUAUAUAUAUUAUUAAUGUUUUUCAAAACCAUUUUAAAUUUGCAUUUGAAAAUGGUCACAAGUUUUUUAAAUAAUGAAAUAUCUGUGCUGAUGGAAAUGGGUUACAAAGAAAUCAGAUUUUUGUGAAUAUGUUUUUAAUAGCUCUAACUCUUUUUAACAAUAUUUUUAAUAGCUAUAACAUUUUAAUUUCCUAACAGCUCUUUUAUUUUUUUAUCUUUUUGAAUAAUUUUUAAUUUUUUUAUUUAUUUUCUAACUAUCUAUUACAUGUUAGUAGCCUAAGAUACCAUCCACUCUUACAAUCAAACGUAGCAAAACAUAAAAAUAAAUCAUAGUAUUAUUUUUUUGUGUUUGCAAGACUUGCUGAUAUUUCUUUUUUAUCAUUGUUGCUGUUUCUGUAACCCUCGUCUUUAGAGGAAGAAGUUGGAUCCUGGAGGAUAGCCUUGUGUUAAGAAAAUAUCUUUAAGAAUAGUGUCUAUAUAUGUCCCAAGUUAUAGUUUGUUUAUGUUCAUUGUAUUUAAUUUUACAACAUAUCUAACCCCACCCUCUCUCUCUCUCUCUCUCUCUCUCUCUAUAUAUAUAUAUAUAUAUAUAUAUAUAUAUAUAUAUAUCACUAUAAUAUAUUUAUUAUAGUGAUAUAAUAAAUAUAUUAUAUAUAGGAGAUGCAAUGUUUCUAUCAUAUGAAUAAACCUCACUUGUGUACGUAAUUGUUUUUUAAGGACAAUAAAAAAAAUAAAAAUUUUUUUAUUCUUCAUUCCCUUGUGUAAAGCAUAACUUCCUAGCAAGGUAAAGGAUUUCACAUUACAAAAGUGAAAAGGAAAAGAGAUGUGAUUAUUUUUGCACUUUUGUUUAUUCUUUUAUAAGAGAAAAUAUUGAUACUUUGACUUUCUAGGAAGUUAUGCUACUACAUCAAUAUUUGUCAGACUUAAGAAGUUUAUAAAACACAAGCACACCCUAAAAUAAAACAACAUUUCAAUGUAUAUAAUAACAGAAGUUUAUAAAACACACGCACACCCUAAAAUAAAACAACAUUUCAAUAUAUAUAAUAACAUUUCAUUGUACAUAAAAUAUUGUCGAUGAAAAUAAUGAAAUCAAUGUAAAAGAUUAUGAUGGAAAUGAAAACAAGUCAAUUAACAAACAAGAAGAAAAUUUUGAUUAAUUUUCACAACAUGAAUAUGUAAUGUCAUAAAUUAUAAAGUAAUAUUUAUGAAUGAAACUCACUUUAAUAUAAUGACAAUGAUGUUAAUUUAUUGUUGAAUGACAAGGAAAUAUUUGUUUUAUUAUUGUGAUAUGAGCUAUUGUUAUUGUGUUGUGUGUGCAGUUGUGAAUUUAAGUAUUUGUAGGAUGGAUAGAUAGGGAAUACAUAUACAAUUUAGAAUCGGACACUAUUUUACAAUGAUGAAAAUACUAACAUAAUGUACAUUACACACGAGUAUACCAACAAAAUAUAUCUAUCAGUAUAUUCUAGUGACGAUGGAAAAUGUUUUCCUUCUCCCUGUCAUUAUUCAUGAUGUACAUUACACAUGGGUAUACUGACAAAAUAUGUCUGUCAUUAUAUUCUAGUGACGAUAAGAAUUCCAAUACGUUGAUAAUUACUACUCCUAGUAAUUGUUGACUAUUUACUUUUUUUUCCAACGGAAUCACUGACGGACUGAAAAGUCAUUGGUAAUAUUUAGAGAGGUUUCUAAGAAUUUUCGUACAAGUUGGAAAUUUUCAUUUGACUUUACAGAUAGAAUCACCGUUGGAAAUAUUAAAAAUAUUAAUAUUUAAUAGUUUGCUGGUAAUUUCGUUGAUAAAUCAAAAUUAAAAAGACCAGAAUCAGAACAAAUAAGACAUCAUCUUCUUCUCUCUUCUUCUCAACUAACACAAUUCUCUUCUCUCUCUCUCCUUUUUAGCUGAAAUCAAGCAUCAUCUUCUCUUCUUAUCCUUAGGUAUGUUGUCUUUUUUUUUUGUGUGGGUUUUUUAACAAUCUAUUUUCUUUUCUUUUGUUUUUGUUUUUUAAUUCUUAGUUUGAAUUAAGUAUGCCAUUAAGGGAAGAAUUUUUCAUUCAUUUUUCUUCUUUUUUGUGUGUGUGUGUGUGUGUGUGUGUUUUUUUUUUUUUUGCAUUAUUUUUGUUUUUUUGUCAUUGUUUUUGUUCAAUUUUGUGUUCUUAAUAAUUUUAUGAAUUAAUACCUAUGUUGAAUUUUAGUUGUUAUUGAAAUAUUUUUUGCAUUAUUUUGUUGAAUUUUAAUAAUUUUAUGAAUUAAUACCUAUGUUGCAUAACUUCCCAGCAAGAGAAAAUUGCAGCAAAAAGUGAAAAGAAACGAAAUAUGAUUGUGCUAAAGCUGUCUAUUAUUUCCUAAGCAUGUAUUUAACUUCUUAAGAAAUCAUCUAUAUUUGAAAAUAUUAAAUAACCAUUUCAACUUAAAAAUUUAAAUUUAUUUUUAUACUUUGUUUUAUAUUUUUUGAACAUAUAAAAAUUUAAAUCCUUAGAUGAAACUUCUAGAAUCAUUUCAUUCUAUUCGAUCUCUCACAGAACUCAGACAGCUUCCUCUGCUUUAUUUAUUUAUUUAUUCAUAAUGAUGAAUUAGUAUAAAUAGGCUUACAAGCCUAGCUAGUAAAUGGAACUAGCCAAAAUAGUUACUUCUAUCAACAACCAUUUUCAACAAACAACAGUCAUACAAGAUGAAUUCCUCUGAUCAACAAAUGAAUAGCAUCACUUACAUGGAACCAAAAUUGUACAAAGCUGCAGAAGCAGGCAACAUCAACCCAUUUAAGGAUCGUCUUCCAACUUCUCUCAAUGAGCUAUUGACUCCAAAAAAAAACACAAUUCUUCAUGUUUACUUAGAAAACCAACGUAAAGGAUCGAAAUCCACUGAUUUUGUUGGCCAAAUUAUUGAUAUGUGUCCACCACUAUUAUUGCAGGCCAAUAAGAAAGGUGAAAUCCCACUCCAUUUUGCGGCAAGAUAUGGGCGUUCCAACGUGGUAAGAGUCCUCAUUGACCGCGCAAAAGCUCGACCUACUGAUCCAGAGAGCGGAGUAACAGAAGCAAAAAAGAUGUUGAGGACGGCCAAUGAAGAGCAAGAUACAGCGUUGCAUGUGGCAGCUCGAAAUAUCCAAGCCCAAGUGGUGGAAAUAUUGACUAAAGAGGACCCUGAGUUUUCAUAUUCCGCCAAUGUUCAUGGAGAAACUCCACUUUAUAUUGCUGCCAAUAUGAGGUUUGUGAACAUUUGUUUUAGUCUCAAACAGAGUUUGAUACCGAUUCGAUACUAUAUGUGAUCAACAUCUUUUUUUUUUUUUUUUUAAUAUAUACUAGAUUAACCAAUUUUUUACAAAUCUAUAUAUCAAUCUAGAAUACUAUCAUUUUAAGAUUAUAUAAAUGUAAUUGUUGAUUAAUUUUAAUUUGUUCAGCUUUAUAAUGUUUAAGUAAAUCUGUUUUUUAAAUUAUCAUAAAAGAUAUUAGAAAAGCAAUGCUUCUAUAAUAAUAGGAUUACCUGCUUAUUUUUUUUAUGCUAUAUAUGUUCUUGAACUCGAGACAUAUUAAUUCAAUAUGAAUAAGUCCACUUAUCUCCCUAAUUGUUUUUUAAGAACAAUAAAAAAUAGCAAAAUUUAAUGGUUUUUAAUUCUCUUUUAUUGGACUUAAAAUGUUAAUAAAAAUCACAUAUAUCUAAUUAUGAUUAUAUUGCUGCCAAUGUAAGGUUUAAUUGGAGGUUUAAAAGACAUGAAGAAAAUAGAAAAAAAGUGAUCGACGAAAUCUUGAGUAAUUGCAAGUCAGUGGAAUAUAGUGGUUCUCAUGGCAGAACCGCACUACACGCGGCAGCCAUGCAUGGUGAUCAUGGUAAGAUUUUAUUCUGAACUGUAAAGCUUUGAAUUCAUAAAUUAUUAUCGGAAACCAUAACUAAAUUCGUUUUUAAUUCAAGAGAAACCCUUAUCUGUUUAGAACAAAAUAUAUUGUAUUUUUUAGAUUUUAGUUUCUUUUUAUUUAAACUCAUUUAUUUUAUGUUUCUUUAAAAAAUCUUAUUUCAACCUUUAGGAUAUUGAUCUUUUCAUUUAUUGUUCAUUUGUCAAAUUCUUCGUUUACUCUAUCACAUUUAUUUGAUAUAGAAGUUAAUAAAGGAAAAAAAAACAAAAAUAUUCAUUGUAUGUUUGUUAAAUUAAAGGUUAAAUUGUAUUUAUUACUUAUAUAAUUCAUUGGAAGAUACAAGGGAAAGAAAAUACAUCAUAAGAAGACAAUGAAUUUCCUUGUCUAUUUAAUUAAGGACUUAUUUGCAUGAUUAUAAGAUUUUAGGACCAAAAUGUUCUUAUAUACGUUUGGAUUCCACGUUAAAAUGAUAAUUUAAAGGCUCAUAAUAAUAUUGAACUUUAUUCUUGUUGUUUAUAGUUUUUCUUAAAAACUUUGGUCAUCUAGUUCAAAUGAAGUUGGAGUUGUUGACAUUUCCAUAUUAUUAUUUUAAAUAUGACCAAAUAAUAAGAACCAAUAAAAAAAAUGAUGCAUAAACAAUAUUGAAUAGCGACUAUAAGAACGUAGAAAGCAAGAAAGGGCAUUUAUAAUACAAUUAAAGAGAGAAAAAUGCCAAAUUAAAGAUCACUAAAUUACUAGCGUAGAUUACGCAUUAACCAUAAUAUUAUUCAUAUAUUUCCUAAUAUGUACCAUAUAUUUUUUUAUGGUUUAUUGCAGAGACAGCUAGAAAGAUAUUGAAAAGAAACCCGAGUUUGACGAGAAGAACCGACGAUGACGGGUGGUCCCCACUUCACUACGCUGCCUUUUUCCCUUAUUUAUCUCAUGGUGUGCCUACAGUAAAAGUACUACUAGAACAUGAUGUGUCCGCAGCCUACAUUGUCGAUUCAGAGAAGAGAACAGCCCUUCACUUGGCCGUCGUUCGAGGCGAUGUGGCAGCAGUGAGAGCGAUUAUGAACCCUUGUCCAGCUUGUUGUGAACUAGUGGAUAACAGAGGUUGGAAUGUCCUUCACUACGCUGCCACAACUAUAAAAGGAUAUUUCUAUUUCCCUCAAUGGAUUCCUCACUUUGAGAAACUUAAAUACGAGAAGGAUAACGAUGGAAACACACCAUUGCAUCUAUAUGCUGCUUUAGGCAAUUUUCCCCAGCAGAGAUUGAGUAGUGAUUGGAUACAUGCGUACAAGAAGAUGUGUGGCCUUAACAAGCGAAACCUCAGCGUUGAUGACAUCUUGGGACGAAAUUUUCCUGAAACAAAGGUAAUUCCCUCGAUUUGAUUUUUUAGCGAGUCGCACUCUUAAACGCGAAAGAGUCUUUGCAUUUGAAAAAAUUACCAAAACAAAAUUAAAUUUAAAUUGUCAGAGGAAUGAUGUGAGAUUAUUUUCAUAAAUAUCAAAGGAGGAUAAAUUAUAAUAUUCAUUCAAUCUUGUUAAAAAAAAAUUACUUCAACUCUAACAAUAACUACGUAUGCACUAUUAAUAAAGCACAUCAAUCAAACAUAAAUUCACUUGGUUUGUCUCCCUUUUUUAAAAAAUAAAAUAAAGAUAGAAUAGAAUCCUUCUGUCAAUAUAACACACUAUUUGCUUUGUCCUCUAAACUGAUGCUGGUUUGUUCCAGGAUGUCUUUGGUAAUGUGGUAUGAGAUGUUUUUUUAAAUAAUUUUUAUUAAAAAAUAUAUUAAAAUAAUUUUUUUAUUUUUAGUAUUAGCCCAUUAAAAUUAUUAAAAAAAUACUUAAAAAAUUAAUUUGAUAUUUUUUUUGAGCAACACCCUUUUAAAUUGCACCUAAAAACAAUUUCAAACUAAAAAACAAACAGUCCUCGUAGCAACAAAAGCAAUAUAUAUUGUUGCUAGCUAAAAGAAACAAAAUUACUUGAUUUCAAACUCGCUGGUUAUGAAUUAUGAUAGCAAACAAAGGUUGAGAGUCUACAGAUGAUAAAGGAAAAGAAAGAUUCGUUUAAUUUCAUAGCCGAAACUUGUUGCAGAAAGAGAUUUUGGAAUCAUUGAAAGAUGUACGGAGUGGACCUCUUCAACGGCCCAUAGCUAUGAUGAAAAAAGAGUACCUCUCUAUUUCUGAGAGAGGAAUGGAGACUCGUGUACUUGUAGCGGCACUCGUAGCAACAGUUACAUUUGCAGCUGCUUUCACCAUGCCUGGCGGUUACAAAAACGAACAAGGCAUUGCAGUUCUUCUUAAAAAUGCUGCUUUUGUAGUCUUCGUUAUAUCAGAUGCAAUAGCAAUGCUUCUCUCAAUUUCUGCUCUCUUCAUGCACUUUUGUUGGGCACCGAUUGGAACAAGAGGUCAAGUGGAAGAGGAUAUGAAAGGAAAUUGGACAUCUACUUUAACCAUAUGUGCCAUCCCAGCAAUGGUCAUCGCAUUCAUCACAGGAAGUUAUGCAGUGCUAGCUCCAUCAUCAUGGCUUGCAAUCACGACUUGUUUCAUUGGUGCAGCCUUCAUCUUCUUUGCGUCCACGGCAUUCAUAGUUGACGGACGCACCCUUUUUAAAAUAUUAAAAAUACAAAGAUUGAAAUUUGACAGUACGUUGUUGACUGUUGAGAGCUUUGUUGACAAAAAAAAUUGAAUUUGAGGAAGAAAAGUCUAAAAUCAGAUGUUUAUGGACUCAAUUAAAUUUUAGUGAAGGUUUAAUUGAAUUUAUAGAGGUUUUGAUUGCAAGAAAAUUUGAUUUUGAAGUCAUUUUAGACUUUAAUUAGAAGAAAUUAAAGUUCCGGGGUCAAAUUAUAAUUUUUGAGAGUUGAUUUGGUCAAAUCAGGGACUUAAUUGCAUAAAUAUUAAAGUUUGAUGGCCAAUUAGAAACUUAAUUGAAGAAAUCUGAAACCAAGGACCAAAUUAGAAAAGGAGCGUAAAUAGAGGGGCUGUAAUUAACCGAAUCAGGGGGCCAAAUUAAAAAAAUUAUAAGUUUAUUGAUCAAUUGAGGGUCCAAUUGCAUAAAUCAGAGACCAAGGACUAAAGUGAAAAAGGCGGCCAACUUCAAGGCUGACGAUUGAAUUUGGCAGGAAUGCAAUUGAAUUGAUUUUUAAAAUCAAAAUUGCAAUUUAAGACUUGAUUGAAUGAAUUUUAAAUUGCAAUUUAGUAUUCUUCUACUAAAUUUUGCUUAAUAUUGGUUUGUAUUUUUAUACCGUAAAAUACAAAUCCGGUAUUAAAACACCUGGUUUUUGUCAAAACAUAAAAAAAUAUAUUUUUGUUUCAUGCAUACGGUCAAUUCUCUCAAAGCUAAAAAUCAUAUUGUAUUUUCAUACAACAAAGAAAACUUCAAAAAAAAUAAAUGUUUUAGCAUGCAUUUUGGCUUUAAUAACCAGUUUAUUAAAAUCACGAGAAUUUGGCCAAUAUUUCAAAAAUUCCAAAAAAAUAUUUUGUUUUAUUUUAGUAUAAGGGAUUACGAAUUUAUACGUAAAACAUAUUCCCGAUAUUCAAAAGGUAUUUGAUGACAUAGGACAGUUGGUUUUAUCCGAUAAGAUAAGGAUCUCCUUACAGAGGAGAACUUUUCUUAAACAGUAUACAGACCGCCAAUUAGAAACCACAACAAGACCUUAGAUUUUAUCAGACAACAAAACAAUGCAGCUUACCUUAGGCAGGGCGUAGUUGAGGUGCUAAUACCUUCCCUUUAAACAACUAAUCUCCAUACCUGAUCUCUAAGACUAGUUAGGGUUCCUAGUAACUAGAAUACUAGGUGGCGACUCCCAUUCAAAUUUUUCACCGACAAAAGACAAGAAUUUCUUGUCUCUUCAUACUUGCUAGAUAGACAUACAUUCCACCUUGAGAGGGUAGACGAUCUCUGCGACGUCGCGCGGACACAUGCAACACAUAGAAUGACAGCUAACAAGUUCACCAUAUUGAUUCUAGAUGAAUGGUAAUUGAGCCAUAAUUUUCGAAGGACUUGAAUUUCUAACACACACACACACACACACACACACACACAUAUAUAUAUAUAUAUAUAUAUUGAUUAGAAUUUCCAUUAAUUUCUGAAUGGUAAUUUGGACUUCAAUUUCUGCACAUUGCAACUUCAUCCACAAGAACAAAAAAAAAAAAAGCGCAUAAACAUUUUGAGAAAUUAAUAAAUGAUGUAAUGCUAUUAUUUAACUCCGAUCUGGUGGGUUAUGAAGGAGAUGAAGCUGAUGACAACACACAAUGUUGAGUUUUUCAGACCCUAAUUCCACUUACAAGGUGUAAAAAGUGUAGUUAAAACUCAAUUUGAACAACAGAGAUUAAAAAAAAUCAAUUUAUUUUUAUGUUUAGUGUGUUUUAGACUAAAUAAUUUUGUUUUAUAUUGUAUUUAUUAAAUUUAGACAAGACAUGAGUAAAAACAAAUUAGAAGAAGUAUUGAUCUAACUUGAUCCAAUCAAAAAUUCAAGUUGACUUAUAAUCAAGUCAACCCGAUAUAGAACACGAUUGAAAAAAUAUUGAUUUUUUUGUUAUCAAAAUAAGAUUGGUUUAAUUUAUUUUUAAUUUAUAUCAACUUAGAUUGACCCUCUUAACUCAUGACUAGGCCUUGUCUCAAUUCCUGAAUUAGAUUUUAAAACAAUCAUAAUAACUAUUUUUAUUCAUGUAUUAACUAAACCAACCCUAGUUGAUCUUCCAAACACAUAGUCAAGGUCUUGCUUUAGGUCAUCACUUAUGUCGCACGUCACCCGCGCGUCGCGGCGAAGAUUCCACUUCAAUCUAAAUGUGAUGUGUGUCCCUAUUUAUCUAUCUUUAUUUGGCCAAUAUGAGGGAUAAGAAAAUCUAGUCUUUUAUUGGUGGAAAAUGGAAUGGGAGUCGCCACCUAGUAUUUUGGUCACUAGGAACCCUAACUGGUCUCAGAGAUUGGGUACGGGGACUGGUUGCGUAAAGGGAAGGUAUUAGCACCCCAAAUACGCCCUACCUAAGGUAAGCUGCAUUGUUUAUUUGUCUGAUAAAAUUCAAGGUCUCGUUGUGUUUCCUAGUUGUUGGUCCGUCUAUGGUUCAAGAAAAGUCCUCCUCAAUAAGGAGGUCCUUAUCUUAUCGGGUAAAACCUAACCGUUCUAACAUCUAUAUAAAAACCAUAUUUUUAAUAUCAGGAAUAUGUUUUACGUAUAAAUUCAUAAUCCCAGAUACUAAAAGAAGACAAAAAGAUUUUUUUAGAAUUUUUGAAAUAUUGGCAUAGUUCUCAUGGCUUUAAUAAACUCGUUAUUAAAGCCGAAAUGCAUGUUAAUACAUAUAUUGUUUUUGAAAUUUUCUUUGUUGUGUGAAAAUAUGAUGUUAGAAUAUAUAUAUAUAUAUAAAUAUAUAUAUAUAUAUAUAUAUAUAUAUAUAUAUAUAUAUAUAUAUAUUGGAGAGACUAGGCCGUAUGCAUGAAAACAAAACAUUUUUUGAAAACUUGACAAAAACCGAUUAUUUUAUUACCGGAUUUGUAUCUUUACAGUAUAAAAAUACAAACCGAUAUUGAUCAAAAUACAGUAAUAAAAUUACAGAAAAUCACAUAUUUUUUGAAAUAAUUUUUUGAAGAAUUUUUGUUCGAGCGGGCCAGACCCGGCCCAAAAGAAAACUGGGCCAAAAUCGGCCCGAAAUAAAUUGGGGCCUGGUUUCUACAGGGCUAGACUCAGCCCAGCAGCAUAGGUUGGGCCGGGGUUCCAGCCCAAAACAAGCACAGACUGGUUACUGCGCACCAGCACAGUAACUAGUGAAUUAUAUUUCACGAACAGUGAAAUAGCAUUUCACUGUUCAAGUGAAUUAUAUUUCACUUGAACAGUGAAAUGCAAGGAAAUGGUGCAUGCACAGCGACGUGGGGAGCAAACCUGGUGGCGGAAACGGUGAUUGAAGACGAUGGCAAUGGCGUACACUCGCGGUGGUGCUGGUGGUGGCCGACCGGGGGUGGCUUGGAUGGUGGUCGGUGGCUGUAGAAGCCGGGGACAACAGUUGUUUUCUCUUCCCCUCUGCAAAGGCGUUGCUCCUUCUCUUGGUUUCCUUUGUUCCCUCUGUCAACGCUGUUCUUCCCUCUUUACAGCAGCUUCAUUGAGGUGCAGGAGGUGGCGGUCUGGGGAGCUGAUUCUGGAGAAAGAAAAGUCUAUGGUGCUGCUGACCUUCUCUGCUGGUUCCCUGGUUCUGAAGAAGGUGAAGCCGAUUGUGAUGGUGGCUUCCUCUGUUAUUUCCUGCGUUCUUGAGAAAAGAAGCCGAUGGUUAUGCUGGUGGCGGCUGAUCAGAGAUGGCUGGACGGUGGUUAGUGGCUGUGGAGCCCGGUGUCAACAACUAUUUUCUCUUCUUCUUCCCCAUGCAGAGGCGCCAGCCUCUGGUUUCCUUCCCUGUUUGCUUCUGUCAGCUCCUUCUUUGUUGGUUCUCGGGUGUUCUCUGCUGCCAGCAAUGUUCUUCCCUCUCUGCCGCUGCUUCGUGGAGGCACUGGUGGUGGAACGACCUUUUUUCCUUUUCUCCUAUGUGUCUUUUCUUCAGCUCUGUUCUCCCCUGCUUCCCUUUCUUCCUUCUGUUUCUCACGGUGGUGUUGCCGGCGGGGAAGACAGUGGCAGCUGGUGGUGAUGAUGAAGUGCUCUGUUCCUGGUGGUGUUGCUGCGGGUGGGAAGAAGAUGGUGAGCUAUCCUCGGUGGCGAGCAGUGUUUUGCUGCUUCGUUUCCUCUCUUCUUAAACUCUCACCGUCACUCUCCUCGUUUCAAACUUCUUCCUCUAUCAGUUUCAAAAAUCUCUCCCCCUGUGUCUUUCAAAACAAACCUCUCUCUUCCAAAAAAUCCCCGCCUCCCCUUUUCAGUUGCUAAGAGCAGUAUUUAUAGGCGAAGGGGGAGCGGGGACGUUGCUGCGCAUGGGGAGCAGGGGAGCGGCCUGCUGGUUGGUUGGGCAGUGAGCGCGGCUGGUAAGGCGCGACUCCCCUGGUUUCUUGUCAUCGAAGGGCGUGGGGGCUCUAGCAGCAUGCAGGAAGAGGAACAAUGUCAAAACGACACUGUUCAAUUUUUUUAUAUAUAUAUAUUUAUUUGUAGGAUCCAAAAAUGGGUUACAACAACUUAUAUUAAGUUUUAAGCUAUAAAAAUAAUUAUUUUUAUUUCUAUAUUAACCCAUAUUAAUGAUUAACAUGGUUUAUAACUCAAACUUUGCCUCAAAUCAACUAUUAUUUAAAUUUUAAAUUGUAAUAAUAAUUAUUUUUAUUUUUAUAUUAAUACAGAUCACCUUGAUUUAUUCUUUUGCAAAAAAUUUAAUGAUUUUAUUGUACUCCUUUUAAUAAACAAAAACUUUUCCACUGGAAUGGCCAAAAAAUAAAUACUCCAAGAAACUUCACAAAAAGAUUAUACCGUCCAAUCCAUUUUUACAGCAUAUCAAACUCUACAUAAAUUUCAAAAUCAAAUUACCUCAGUUAAAUCCAUUAAUAUCAUCGUAAUGUAGCAUCCACCAAGUAGGUUCUCCCUGAUAAACAGGGACAUGGCUCCACUACACCUUCAACAAAUUGGAUUGUAUCAUCUUAGGCAAUCUUACAUUAGAGUUUUGCUCAAACCAAAAAUUACCAUAGCCAAGUCUCAAAAACCUUAAACCUCCCACAUAUUUCUUAACAUUAAAAAUAGAUAUACAAGGAAUUCAUGAAUGGAUGCAAUGUAAUAAGCUAUUCAAACUAUUUUGUAUCCAUAAAUUAAAUGGCUCAGAGUUAUAACAACUCUAUCAAUCAAGAAUUUUCAGUAGCAAAACUGGCAUUAAAGCUGUAUAUUAAUCAUCAUUGCCAAAUUUUUUUGGAAAAUCAUUCAUGGAUGUAUUAUUAAAUUGUUUCAAAACAAUCCCAAAUUGAUUUGAACUUUGCAAUCAAUUUCUUGUUACCCACCUGUGUUGUUUCUGUUAACUUGUAUUAGGAUUCCUACAAUUUGCGGGAUUCCUACAAUUUGCGGGAUUCCUAGUUUAGGAAGUAAUUAGUCUUUCCUUAUUCUGUUAGGAAAGUGUAGGGCUGUAUAUAUAUAUAUAUAUACCUGUUGUAUGAUGAAAACAGAGAAUAAAAAAGCAUUAUUUUCUUCUUGGUAUCAGAGCUAAAAUAGAAAAGAAAACACUGAACCCUAAAUAUUUUUGCUUCCUGCCGUAUCUCUAAGUAAUUGCAGCGAGCAACUUAGAGUUGUUGCUGCCGGUUCCAACGAGCAACUUUAAAGUUGUUGCUGCCCCUCCCCUACUUUGUAAGUCUGUCUGUAUUGUUCCAAAAUCUAUCAAAACUGCAAGUUUUAGGCUAUACCAACAGUAAGAGAGAUGGCUGAAGAAAAGGGGGCAGAUUCUCAAGAUGCUCCAGCAGCUGCUCAAAUCAUGGUGCAGACAGAAAAUUCAAACUUUAAUAUUGGUAUGGUUUUGGAUGAAAAAAACUAUGAUUUAUGGGCUCCUCUCAUUCAGAUCCAUAUUGCUGGAAGGAAGAAGAUGGGAUAUCUCCGUGGGUCGAUCAAGGCACCUUAUAAAGACGAUCCUAAAUAUGAUGACUGGUUCUCUGAAGAUCAAAAAAUCAAGAGUUGGCUUUUGUCUUCAAUGAAGCUUGAGAUUAUGAAACGAUACAUUCGGUUGUCUACAUCAAAGGAGAUUUGGGACUCCCUUAAAGUAGCUUACUUUGAUGAGAAUGACGAGGCUAGGAUUUAUUCGUUGAAUCAGAAGGCAUCACGUCUUCGUCAGAAUAGCCGACCUUUGGCAACCUAUUUUGGGGAGCUAACUGAGAUUUUCCAAGAAUUGGAUCACUUUAAUAGAGUAUCCAUGGAGUGUGAAAACGACAUCAAGAUGUUUCAGAAAUCCACUGAGAGACAACGAGUCUAUAUAUUUCUUGGUGGUCUUGAUGACAGGUUUGAUCAGGUACGUGGAGAAGUGUUACGGAAGGAUCCCCCACUUGGCCUUCAGGCUUUUUAUGUAUAUGUUCGUUGUGAAGCUGAUAGGAAGGAAGCAAUGAAGAUGGAGGUUGACAAGAGUGAACCUGCUGCCAUGGCAGCAAAAACCCGUGGAUCAUCCUCUGGGUUGAACCGAGGAGGGUCACAAAACCGGCCAGGACAAACUCGGCCUAGCCAGCCAAGCUGGGAUCGUUCCCAAGGAAAAUACCCACACUGUGGCCUGCCAGGACACUCUAAGAGUCGUUGUUUUGAGCUGAUUGGAUAUCCUGAGAAUUAGGAUAAAACCCGUGAUCCUCGGUGCAACAAGUCACGAGCCUCUAUUGCAGAAACCAUGACGAAUUCAGACCAGAUAGUAGACAAGGCAUUUGCCAUGGUUGCUGCAAUAGGUAGAGAUGGUAAGGCACUAAGUACUUCUACUUUUGUUAUGAAUAAUACAUGAAUAAUUGAUUCCGGAGCUACUGAACAUAUGACUUGCGAUUCUAGACAGGUUCCAUCACUAAAAACAUCAGCCCAAACCGAGGUCAAUGUUGCUAAUGGUAAUGUCGUCCCUGUUAUUGGGGAAGGCACUGUUUCCCUUACUGAUACCAUGGAACUUGACACUGUUCUUGUGGUUCCCUCUUUAAACUAUAAUUUGUUGUCUAUUGCUCAAAUAACCCUUACCUUACAUUGUUUGGUUAUUUUUUGGCCUUAUUUUUGUGUUUUUAAGGAUAUCCGGACACGGAAGACGAUUGGUUAUGGUAUUAGAAGAGGAAAACUUUAUUACUUGGAACUGACCACCAGCAGUUCUAGCUUGCUGACUCAAGCCCUUUCCAGUUAUGGGUCUCAAAGGAAUACUAAUAAAGUUUCGGAUAUCUGGAUGUGGCACAGACGUCUUGGGCAUGCUUCCUUCAGCUAUCUACACAAGUUAUUUCCUAGUUUGUUUGUCAGGACUGAUGUUUCCCAAUUUAAGUGUGAUGUUUGUGAAAUGGCUAAGAGCCAUCGAACCUCUUUUCCUCCAAGUUUCAAUAAAAGUACCAUUCCUUUUAUGAUUGUGCAUUCUAAUGUAUGGGGACCGUCGAAAAUAGCUACUCUUGGUGGUGCUCAAUGGUUUGUUACUUUUAUUGAUGAUUGUACCAGAAUGACUUGGGUCGCUUUGUUGAAAUCAAAAAGCGAAGUCAGUUCAGCCUUUCAGAGGUUUCAUAAAAUGAUUACGGUGCAAUACAACAACAAGAUCCAAGUUCUUAGAAGUGACAAUUGUGGUGAAUAUGUUAAUUUAGAACUUCGUUCCUUCCUGGAACUGCAUGGUAUUGUUCAUCAGACCACGUGCCCGUAUACUCCUUAAUAGAAUGGGGCUGCUGAACGAAAAAAUAGACACCUGUUAGAAAUGGUUCGUGGUUCGUGCUUCGCUCAUUGCAACACAUCUGCCUCUACAGUAUUGGGGAGAGGCGCUUACAUCCGCAGCUUAUCUUAUUAAUCGUCUUUCUUCUCAUACUAUCAACUUCAAUACACCAUUUCAGGCUCUCACAUCUCAGAUUAGCAGUCCACCGACUCCCAAUCUUCCCCCACGGGUCUUGGGGUGUGUAGCUUUUAUUCAUCUGCAUCCUCCUCAACGACAUAAUAAACUUGAGCCUCGCUCCAUUCAUUGUGUUUUUUUGGGCUAUGCUACUACCCAGAAAGGAUAUCGUUGUUAUCAUCCUUCGAGUAAAAGAAUGUUUAUUACACAGGAUGUGAAUUUUCAUGAGAAUGAAAUGUUUUUUGGACCCUCUACGUCCUCACUUCAGGAGGAGUACCGAAGCAGUGAAGUUCUGACCCGAGAUAAUACUGAAGUUUUGACAUUUGAUUACUCUCCUGUGGCUAGAAACUAGCUACACGAAGAGCAACAUGUUAUGGUGAUCAGGCUACUAAAAACAACGACUCUGAGGAGCAACAAACAUUGCAGGAGGAAGAACAACCCACUGGUCCCACGAGGUUGGGGCUUGAUAAUGAGCUGCAGCCUACUACUUACAAUAGAACCGAGCAACAACUGCAGCAAUUGUCACAGGAUUUUCCUUCCGAUGGUAUACAUGAUCCAAGUAUGAACUCAUCCUCUGUUAAUUCUCAUAACCAAUCGUCUUCCAUACCGGAUGCAAUUCCACCCCGUCACCUUCCAGAGCGUAUUAAUCGAGGUAUUCCCAAACCUAUUUACGAGGCAGAUCUUAAGUGUAAACACAAGUAUUCCAUGAGUGAGCCAAAUUCUGAUUCAAGAGUGAGAUACGCAUUAAACAAUUAUGUGUCAACCGGUCACCUGUCAGAAUCAAAUAAGUCAUUUGUAUAUCAAUUAUCUACCGUAUCUAUUCCUAACAGUGUGUAAGAGGCCUUAGCAGAUUCCUGCUGGAAAGAUGCAAUGAAUGAAGAAUUGAGAUCGUUGAAGAAGAAUGCUACCUAGGAAAUAACUGACUUACUAGCUGGAAAGAAAUUUGUGGGAUGCAAAUGGGUCUAUACAGUGAAAUACAAAGUAGAUGGAACAAUAGAUCGCUUUAAGGCAAGAUUGGUGGCAAAGGGAUAUACACAGAAAUAUGGCAUCGACUACACUGAUACAUUUGCACCAGUGGCAAAAAUCAACACAAUUCGUGUUCUACUGUCCUUAGCAGCAAAUCUAGAUUGGCCUUUGCAACAGUUUGAUGUAAAAAAUGCAUUCCUCCAUGGAGAUUUAACUGAGGAGAUUUACAUGGACCUUCCACCCGGAUGGAGGGAUCCAGACAUACAGAAACCCAAGGUAUGUAGACUUAAGAAAUCAUUGUAUGGGUUGAAGCAGUCUCCACGAGCCUGGUUUGGUAGGUUUACCCAACCAAUGAGAGCAUUCAGGUAUAGACAAAGUAAUUGGGAUCACACGUUAUUCCUGAAACACCGGGAUGGAAAUGUUACAGCUCUCAUUGUAUAUGUGGAUGAUAUGGUAGUUACUGGUAAUGAUCUUGCUGAGCAAGCAGCCUUGAAAAAUUAUUUGUCCACAGAAUUUGAAAUGAAAGAUCUUGGUUCUUUAAAAUAUUUUCUUGGGAUUGAAGUGUCGAGGUGCAAGUCCGGGAUAUUUCUAUCGCAAAGAAAGUAUGUUCUUGACCUAUUAAAAAAAACCGGUAUGACAGCGUGCAAGCCGGUAUCCACUCUGUUGGCUGAAGGAAUGAAGUUGGGUAUUGAUCGGACCCAAGGAUCGAUUGAUAAAGGGACGUAUCAACGGUUAGUAGGAAGAUUGAUGUACUUGGGUCACACUAGACCGGAUCUGGCUCAUGCCUUGAGCAUAAUUAGUCAAUAUAUGCACAAUCUGGGAGAACAACACAUGAGUGCAAUCAUGAGAAUAUUGAGUUACUUGAAAGGAAGCCCUGGUAAAGGAGUUUUAUUUUGAAAAAAUGGGCAUUUCAAAAUUGAGUGCUAUACGGAUGCUGACUGGGCCGGAUCCACGGAUGAUAGGCGUUCAACAUCCGGGUAUUUUACCUUUGUUGGAGGAAAUCUAGUAACGUGGAGAAGUAAGAAGCAGAAUGUUGUGUCAAGAUCAAGCGCAGAAGCUGGAUUUAGAGGCAUGGCACUUGGUAUCUGUGAACUCUUGUGGCUUAAGUUUCUAUUACAAGAUGUGGGGGUCAACCAUAGCCAAUCGAUGAAGUUAUUUUGUGACAAUAAAGUUGCUCGUGAUAUUGCUCAUAAUCCAGUGCAACAUGAUAGGACCAAGCAUGUAGAGGUUGAUCGGUUCUUUAUUAAAGAAAAAGCUAGAUAACAAAGUAAUUGAGGUUCCUCCCAUAGGAACGGACGACCAAGUAGCAGAUAUUCUCACUAAGGCAGUUUUUAGUAACAAGUUCUCCAGGUUUCUAGACAAGUUGGGCAUGUGAUACAUCGAUGCACCAACUUGAGAGGGAAUGUUAACUUGUAUUAGGAUUCCUACAAUUUGCGGGAUUCCUACAAUAUUUGGUUUCCUAGUUUAGGAAGUAAUUAGUCUUUUCUUAUUCUGUUAGGUAAGUGUAGGGUUGUAUACAUAUACAUGUUGUAUGAAGAAAACAGAGAAUAAGAAAGCAUUAUUUUCUUCUGUUUCUUCUUCCUCUAUCCAAUUUGCGUCACCAUUAUUGAGUCCAAGUGGCGGUUGCAGUAAAUAGUCGCAGGCACAAAGAGUUUUUAGACGACAGAAGAGGUCCUGAACUAUAGUAAAGUACUGUAGUCUCUACAGACCCAUUUUUUAUACGAAUGUGAUAUAUAAAAAUAAAAUUUUUAAUUAGAAUAUCCAUGUUUAAUAUGCAGUACGAUUGCGAUAAAGUCCAUCACGAUAUUUCUGAACAUAUGACAUCACAAUUAUUUUUCAAAAACAAUAAGAAUUUUAAAAAAAUACUUUGGAGUUUUAUUUGAUAGAAAAUUUAGAAUUGAUUGUUUUACCAGUAUAUCUAAUCUCGUAUAUCCUUGUAAAUAAUCCUAAACACUAAAUACACAAGGAAAACAAAACUCAAACCAAUAAGACAAAUGCUGAUGGCAAGCCCCAAGAAAGGUUCUAGAACCGUGUAUAUGCCCGUGAAGAAUGCGAUAAUCAUUGUCUCCAUCCCAAUCAUGGUAAACAACGUGGCAACUCUAAAUAAUAUCUCAAUGGUAUCCUCACUUGUAUCUUUAUUCUUGUCCAUUUCCAAACCUUGAAUCAGCGAAAUCAAAAAGUGGAUAAAGACAGCAAAAAUAGAAAGCACCAUCGACAUUGCAUCUGAGAGGACAAAUACUAUAAAAGCAGCUUUUUUAGCUAGAAUUGUGGUGCUUUGGUCGAUCUUGUAACUGCCAGGUAGGGUGAAUGCUGCUGCAAAUGUUACCAUUGUUAUCAGCGCCAUAAUUUUAAAAUGUAUAGUGAGUUUAAACUAACAGCCACUUCUACAAUAUCUCGAAAUCUCAAGAUCUAAAAUUACCAAAAGAUUUUAAGAAUAAAUAAAAUGUAUUUAUUAGCUAUUUUUUUAUGAAAUAAAAUUAAUCACACUUAACAAAAGACCAUAACUGCAUAUAAAAUAAAAAUUGCUUGAGACUUCACUUAUUUUACUUAAACAAUAUUGAUAUAUCAAAGUAUAGGAAAUUUGAGGUUUUAAAAAAUCAAAUAAGAUAUUCAUUUCUUAAAAUUUAUUGAACUGCUCUUUCUCAACAGUCUUCCCAAUGUUGAAUUUGCAAUUAAUAUUCUUAUUGGAAAUUUAAACAUACAUAAAAAAAUAAAAAAAUAUAUUUCUUAAAUAUUUUAAAAGAUUUUAUUUAUAGUUUUAUACAAACCGUCAUCUACCUUUACAAGUUUUUAUUUAAUAUGACGGUGCGCCGCGUAAACAAAUUUCUGUUUGUUUACGCGGCGCAUCGUCUUCAAAGUUCAAAGCAUGUAAAGGGUUUUCUUCAUUGUCAAUUCUCUGUGGCCUUGUUUAUUGAGCGAACUGGAGUACUGGGUUUUCUUCAUUUUUCCAUGAUACCAGGGAUCUUGCAUUUUUUAAUAAUUCCUUCUCUUCUUUUUUUUAUCCUAUUGAUUCUCUUAACUGGAGUACUCAAAGACUCAUGCUUUAUUCGAAGCAUCCUUUUCCUUUUUGUUUUUCUCAUUCGUUUCUUCCAGAACAAUGCGCCGGAAGCCAAACGGUCCCCUGCCAACAUCUUCAAGGGAUUCUAGGAUCUCCUGCAAAAUAUUUUGGGUGAAAUAUCGUAGAUAAUCCAUCAUUUUUAGCUAAUUAUCAAAUAUCAAAUAUCAACUUCAUAACAUUUAUUUAUUUUCACAGCUAGUUUGUUUGCAAUGAAAUUCUUUUUCUUACUGUAUAUAUGAUAGAUAAUUAACGCGCGCGCAUAUAUAUAUAUAUUGGGUUUUAAUGGAUGCAUUAAUUAUCACAACAGUUAAUUCACAGAGGAUUGAUUACCGGUAUCUCAGCUAAAUCUCCGUUAUAUAUGUCCUUGAUGCUUAGCUUUUGCUUGUUAAGGCCAUAUAUUCCUUCUUCUCUAAACCGAAAAACAAGUAACCAGUUGUCGAGCUUGAGUGCUAAAGCAGCAAUUAGAUGGAAGGGCGUGUUUCCUUUGUCAUCCUUCUUCGUUUUAAGUCUGUCAAGUAAUGGAAUCCUCAGACAUUCCUUGAAUACUUCGGUUCUCCUACUGGCCACAACAUAGUGAAGGGCAUUCCAACCUCUGUUAUCAACUAGCUCACAACAAGCAGGGCAUCGAGAAACAAUCUCUUUCAUUGCGUUUACAUGUCCUUGACAUGUCCUUGAAUGGCUGCAAUGUGAAGAGCUGUUCUCUUCUUCUCUGUUUCAGCAAUGUAGGCUGCGGACGCAUCAUAUUUUAGUAAUACUUUCACAACUGAAAUAUUUAACCAAGUAGAGAAAUAGGCAGCGUAGUGAAGUGGUGACCAGCCGUUGUCAUCGGUUGUUUUCGUCAACUUUUUUUCUUUCUUUAACAAUUUUCUUGCUGUCUCUGAAACCAACAAAACAAUGAAUAAAUGUUUUCCUUCAUGAACAACAUAGAUUUCACAGUCUGUGUGAAUUACUAUAUACCCAGUACUUAAACUCACAAAGAAUUUUAGUGGUAUAUUUUAUUUUAUUUUUUUAAAAAAAGCUAAUUAUCAAGCAAACACGGAUAUAUAAAAUCAAUUAUACGUGGCUUUUAAAUUAUAGUUACUCUAUUAUAUAUAAAUUUUUUAAUUCUCCAGACUUGAGCACAAAAUCCUACCAUAAUCUCCCACCGCGCUUGCCGCAUGUAGAACAGUUCUACCAUUAGGGCCGCCAUAGUCCACUGAAAUGCAAUUAGCAAGGAUUUCAUCGAUCACCUUUUCUUGUUCUUGACCCCAACUGGAAGCAGCAAUAUAAAGUGGAGUUUCUCCAUGAACAUUGGCGGAAUAUGAAAACUCAGGGUCCUCUUCAGUCAAUAUUUCCACCACAUGGCUCCGCAUAUUUCGAGCUGCCUCGUGCAACGCUGUAUCUUGCUCGUCAUUGGUCAUCCUCAACAUCUUUUUUGCUUCUGAUACGCCGCUCUCUGGAUCAGUAGGUAGAGCUUCUGCACGUUCAAUGAGGACUCCUACCACGUUGGAAUGGCCAUAUCUUGCUGCCAAAUGGAGUGGGAUUUCACCUUUCUUAUUGGCCUGCAAUAAAAGUGGUGGACACAUUUCAAGAAUUUUAUCAACAAAAUCAGUGGAUUCCGGUUCCCUACUUUGGUUUCCUAAGUAGACAUGAAGACUCAGGGUCCUCUUUUGUCAAUAUUUCCACCACAUGGCUCCGCAUAUUUCUCCAUGAACGACAACCUUUCUUCGUUCUUCCCUCCACCUCGGCAUAAUGGAAGCAGCAAUAUAAAGUGGAGUUUCUCCAUGAACAUUGGCGGAAAAUGAAAACUCAGGGUCCUCUUUUGUCAAUAUUUCCACCACAUGGCUCCGCAUAUUUCGAGCUGCCUCGUGCAACGCUGUAUCUUGCUCUUCAUUGGUCAUCCUCAACAUCUUUUUUGCUUCUGUUACUCCGCUCUCUGGAUCAGUAGGUAAAGCUUUUGCACGGUGAAUGAGGACCUUUACCACAUUGGAAUGACCAUAUCUUGCUGCCAAAUGGAGUGGGAUUUCACCUUUCUUAUUGGCCUGCAAUAACAGUGGUGGACACAUUUCAAGAAUUAUAUCAACAAAAUCAGUGAAUUCCGGUUCCCUACUUUGGUUUCCUAAGUAGACAUGAAGAAUGGUGUUCUCGUCUGGAGUCAAUAACUGAUCAAGGCAGGUUUGAUAAUUCUCAAAGGGACCGAUAUCGCCUGCUUCUGCAGCUUUGAACAAGACAGGAUCCAUAUAGGUCGUCAUACUAUUUUGUAGUUUAGAGAAACUCACUAGAUGAAAAGUAUACAAAUGAAGGGGAGGUGAAAUUAACCACUGUGGCUCAAAGGCAAGAGGUUCCACUCCUCAACUGAUCACAAGCUGCUGAUUUCUUCGGUAUUUAAGGGAAGAAAAGGCGUUAAUAACCACAAAUUACAUUUAUUUUCCUUUUUGAUAUUUUGUCGCAAUAUCUUUUCUUUUGCCCUGCUGGAAAGUUAUAUCUGUUUUUAUCAAAAUAAUAAGAAAAUAAAAAAUAAAUUGUUUGGCUCAUGAUCCAUCAUUAUUAUUGAACUUGGACUCGUCUAUGUGCACUACAAGAUUUCACAGUUUUACCGACGGACAAAUUCCGUCGGUGUGUAAUUAGAAGUUCGUCGGUGAUUUUUUUACCGACGUCAUCACCGACGGAUUACGUCCGUCGGCUUUACCUUCGUCGGUGAUUCCCCAUUCCGUCGCUAUAUCGGUCGGAAAAACAAAAAAACCAUUUGCCGAUGGUUUUACAGACGGAAUUUGUGCGCCAAAAAAAAAAAGAUUCCCGCUUGAAAUAUACCGACGGUUUUUUAUUCCGUCGAGAUAUUGUGAUUGACCGACGGAAACUAUCCGUCGGUAAAUCUGUCGGUGAGUGUAUGAAAUACCGACAGAAUAUGUCCGUCUGUAAAUUCGUCGGUGAUUGUGUGUUGCGAUGUCGCGGUCACACAAAUUAAUUACCCUAGCUUCAAACACAACACACAAGAUAGUAUAGAGCAAGCAAGGGGUCGAUCCCACGAGGAAGUUUCAAGUCAGAUUUUUAUGUUGUACGUUAUGUAAUUGAGGGGGAUUUGGUUUGUGAUUAUCUAAACUAUGGCAGCAAUUAAACUAGCAAACAAAAUCAAUUAAAACCGAAACUUAUCAAGAAAAUAAACCUUGGUCGCAAGCACACAUCCAUCAACGGAAAUUAGAACCGAUCCUUGAAACGAAAAUUGCAGUUUAUAUUCUGAAAUUUUAUCUUUUCUUAACGUUGAUUAAUUAACGGAUCCGCCGUAUAACUAAUCCUAACCAACAAACAAUCAAAGUGUCCGCACUAAUGAUUCAAUUUAAUGGUAGCUUUAAGAACUAGAUAAUUUCAUCAAGAUUAACAUACAAGCUGUCCGCAGCUUGUGUCACUUUGUUCAAAUGUUCUCCCUAAGUUCAAUAACGUAGUUCCGCCACAAUUAUCAAGCUUAGUUGCUUCACAAGUUCAUAUAUCACAACUCCGGUUUUGAUAUUAAACUUAGCAAUAGAUUGUUCACAACAAUAACUUAGAGUCCGCUCUAGCAAUCAUCAACAACAAUCAUAGGAAAUAUGCAUAGGAAAACAAUGAUACUCAUUCAUAACAUAAACUGAAAAUAAAAGGAAGAAUAAAUCUCACGGUUCUUGAAAUCCGAAGGUUUGUUGUGUCCUUGCAACCAAGAAAAGAGCUUAGCCUUGCAUAACUAUUGAACAACUACUUCUAAAGAAUGAAAAGAACAUGAUUUUUGGGUUUGUAGAGGAGAGAAUUUGUGUUUAUUCUCUGCUGGCUGCUGCCUCCUUCUGCUCUCCCUCUUUUCUGCUGGUUGCUGCCUCCUUCUCUCUUUCUUUUUAUAUGCUAAGAAACCCUAGUCUCUAUUUUACAAAAUAGUCCUUCCUUGAGUUGGGAGUUUACAUUUAAGUACUUCAAUAACUAUUUUUCCUAAAAGGAGAAAUAGCCUUGCAUGAAAUCUUCAAGCUCUGACUUAGAGGAGCUAAAUUGCUGAUAUAAAAACUUGGAUGUCGGUUUAGAUGCUUCGGAAUGUAAUUUGGACUUGUUUCUUCACGAAACCUGUUUGCUGGCAGAAUUCAGUUAUCAUCUUUGAAAAAUCAUAUCUCCCUCAUAUGACAUCUUUUUUGGCUGAAAUUUGGAGCGUUGAUAGGUCUUUAAGUCAGGAAUCCACGAAAAUUGAGUUUUCAUUAAUUGGACUUCUGUAGCUCCAGAUAUUAAAUUUUGAAUGGCCAAAGGUCAACACUGGCAGAAUGCGAGAUUUGACUUUGCAGGAUGUGAUUUCCAUGAUCUUUCUCUUUUUAUUUUUCUUGCAUUACAUUUCCAGAAAGGUAUGGAUGUUAGCUUUUUAGUGCCACUGGAAUCACUUCAUUUCGAUCUCUAGAACUCACGCUCUGCACAAAACAUCAAAUCUGCCAAUUACCUCCAAUUUACUCCUUUUUGCAUCUUCCAUCCAAAAGUGCCUUCAAAACAUAAAACAAAGAAUAUCAAGGCAUUAUAUAUAUAAAACAUAGGCAAAACACUAGGUAGAUGUGGGUGAAACUAUCGAAUAAUAUGGUUACAUCAAAUACCCCCACACUUAGCUCUUGCUCGUCCUCGAGAAAGGAUAAAUAAAAUUAAAUUGAAAAUAACUAUGAUCAAUCUCUUAAUCUCCCAUCAAUGUCCAAGAGUACAAGCAUUAUAAACAAGAAUACAAUCAAGAAGGAUAAAUGGUAUAAAUUUUCAUGAAUUUAUUUACAUGCAAACUUCAAAACUCAAUUAAUCGUCAGGAUUUAAAUGAAAUCUAUGCCAUGCCAAAGUGAUAGGUCCUCUCAUUGAUAUACACUCCAACACUCAUGUGUUUAGGGUUUAUGUGUUUAAAUCUCUCAAAUUCAAUCAAUGAAUAUGUUCUACCAUAAGCUUGCUCUUCAAUCUCAUCUCCAUUACUAACAUAUUUACAAGCAAUACAUGAAUCGAAAGGUCUUAUUUUCCGGUUGUAAUGGGGCUAAGGUUAAGGUGAGGUAAAAGAGAGUAAAAGAAAAGGUUCAAACCAAAGAAAGUAGAGCAUUCUGAAAAAUGAUAUUUCAAACAAGAUAUUCCAUCAAAACACAUAAAUUUUCCAUCUUUAAUCACCAAUGCUUAACUCCUUUUGAUUUCAAUCUCUCUCAACAUAAAAUCUUAAGAACAUAAAGAAACACUUUUUUCUUUCAUUUUCUUUUUCUUUUUUUUUUUUUUUUUACCUUUGGCAAUUUUGCCCAUCUUUUCAUCAAGUAUCACUUUUUUUUUUCACAUAACUUCCAACCAUAAUUCCAUGAGAUAUCACAAAUAUAUGCUCUACUAAUCCUUGGCCAGGGGAAAAGGAAAACAUAUAAAAAGUUAAGGCUUAUACAUGGAUAAAGCAAAGAAAAGAUAAACAAGCUCAAAAGGGGCUCACUAAGGAUAAUAUGCUUUAGGUUGGCUUUUUUGCUCAAGUGGUUAAAAUUCCUAAUGCCUUUAUCAUCUUCAUGAUGUAAUGCGAAUGUAAUCUCAACAAGAUAUGAAGCAAGUUCUAGAGAUACAUAUCAUUGAAAGAAUGCACAAUCAAAGAAUAUAAUGUUGAAGGCUCAAAAGCUUGCAUUGGUAUAACACUAUAAAGUCAACAUGGCAUAUUCUCAAAGUCAAUCCCUAAACCAAUUAAACCUAAAAAUUUGCAUGCAUACUCCUUCAUUUGAUUUAUAUCUUCAUCUAGCUCAAUUAAUUCUCAUACAUAAUACUCAUAUUCUCAAAAACCAAUGGGAGUUAAAAAGAUCAAACACAAUUUUUUUUUUUAAAGAACAACAAAGAAAACUAAAAUUCUUCCAACACCCCCACACUUAAAACACAACAUUGUCCUCAAUGUUGAAAUAAAAGCAAAGGAAUAUAAGAGAAUGAUAGAAAAUAAAAUAAAAUGCGAAAAAAAUAAAAGAUAAGGAAAAGGAAAGCAAAUCUGAUUGUUUUUCUUUUUGUGCUGGGUUGCCUCCCAGUAAGCGCUUUUGUUUUAUGUCAUUGGCUUGACAUGUGGCAUGCUCAUUCUUCAUAGAUUGGUUCAGCUAACUCUACAGAAGCGGUGAGUUCUGUCGUCCAACCUUCAUAGAAAGGUUUCAAACGAUGCUCAUUGACCUUGAGUACUUUGUUGGUUUCUAAACUUGUAAUUUCAACUGCACCAUAAGGAAAAACAUUAGAAACAACAAAGGGUCCAAUCCAACGAGAGCGCAAUUUUCCAGGAAAAAGUUUCAAACGCGAAUGAUAAAGAAGGACUUUGUCUCCAACAUGAAACUCCUUUCUUGUAAGCAUUCGGUCAUGAAGAUUCUUAGUCUUUUCUUUGUAAAUCCUUGCAUUCUCGUAAGCAUCAUUUCAAAUUUCUUCUAACUCUUGCAGUUGCAGUUUUCUUGCAAUCCCAGCAGCAUCAUAAUCCAUGUUACAUUGUUUAAUGGCCCAAAAAGCUUUGUGUUCAAGCUCCACCGGUAGAUGACAUGCUUUCCCAUAAAUCAUUCUAUAAGGUGACAUUCCUAUAGGUGAUUUAUAAGCAGUCCGAUAAGCCCAAAGUGCAUCUCCAAGACGUAGACUCCAAUCUCGCCGGUUAGGUUGCACUGUUUUCUCCAAAAUGGACUUGAUUUCUCGAUUUGAAAUUUCAGCUUGGCCAUUCGUUUGAGGAUGAUAUGCUGUGGAAGUUCGAUGAGUCACAUGAUAUUUGCGUAGCAAUGCUUCCAUGGAACGAUUGCAGAAAUGAGUGCCACGAUCACUAAUGAUAGCUUUAGGGAUUCCAAACCUGUCAAAUAUAUGAGUCCUGACAAAAUCUAAAACAACCUUAGCAUCGUUAGUUCGUGUGGCUUUCGCCUCAAUCCAUUUGGACACGUAAUCAACAACAAGAAGAAUAUAAAGAUUGCCAAAAGAAGAAGGAAAUGGACCCAUAAAGUCAAUACCCCAAACAUCAAAAAUUUCACUUACAAGAAUAUUUGUUAAAGGCAUUUGAUUCUUAUGAGUGAUAUUACCUGUUCUUUGGCAUUUUUCACAUGAUUUGCAGAAGUGAUAUGCAUCUUUAAAAAUAGAAGGCCAAUAAAAACCACUUUCAAGUACCUUGUGGGCUGUUCUUUUUGCUCCAAAAUGCCCACCACAAGAAUGAGAAUGACAAAAAGUGAGAAUGGAAUGAAAUUCAUCUUGUGGUACACACCUCCUAACUACUUGAUCCGCACAAAAUUUCCAAAGGUAAGGAUCGUCCCAAAAAUAAUAUUUAGCAUUAGCUCGUAACUUAUCUUUUUGGGGUUUAGACAAACCUGGAGGGAAUUCUUUGGUGACUAAAUAGUUUACCAAAUCAGCAUACCAUGGUCUUGUAGAGGAAUGCAACAUAUACAACUGCUCAUCAGGGAAUGUCUCUCUUAUUGUUUCGAUCUGUAUAUCCUCGGUCCUUAGUCGGCUCAAGUGAUCAGCCACAUGGCUUUCGGCACCUUUUUUGUCUUUGAUCUCAAGAUCGAAUUCUUGUAAAAGCAAGAUCCACCUAAUCAGUCUUGGUUUGGACUCCUUCUUCUUCAAAAGAUACCUGAGAGCUGCAUGGUCAGUAAAAACAAUGACUUUUGUACCAAGUAGAUAUGACCUGAGUUUUUCAAGAGCAAACACCACUGCAAAAAAUUCCUUUUCAGUUGUAUGGUAAUUGCAUUAUGCUCCAUCCAACAUGCGAGAAGCAUAGGCGAUAACAUGCAAAUUCUUCCCAAUUCUUUGCCCAAGCACAGCUCCUACCGCAUAGUCACUCGCAUCACACAUUAUCUCAAAAGGUUCAUCCCAAUUUGGUGGUUGGAUGAUAGGGGCAGAUGUGACACGUCUCUUAAGCUCAUCAUGGGCAUCUUUACAUGCUUGAUCAAACACAAAAUCCACUUCUUUGGCUAAUAGUCUGCACAAGGGUGCUGUAAUCUUCGAGAAAUCUUUGAUAAAGCGUCGAUAGAAACCUGCAUGGCCUAGAAAAGAACGAACUUCCCUCACGCAUGAGGGGUAAGGCAAUGAUGAAAUAACAUCUAUCUUAGCUUUAUCAACCUCUAAUCCACGUGAAGACACAACAUGCCCAAGAACUAUUCCUUGUUCUACCAUAAAAUAACACUUUUCAUAGUUCAAGACAAGGUUAGUUUCAAUGCACCUUUUCAAGAUCAAAGAUAAAUUUUCUAGACAUUUAUCAAAAGAAUCACCAUACACCGUGAAAUCAUCCAUAAAAACCUUGAUUAUUCUUUCAACAUAGUCAGAAAAAAUACUCAUCAUGCAUCUUUGAAAAGUUGCAGGAGCAUUACAGAGACCAAAAGGCAUUCUCCUAUAUGCAUAUGUACCAAAUGGACAUGUAAAUGUAGUCUUUUCUUGAUCCUCAGGAUUAAUAACAAUCUGAUUGUAUCCACUAUAUCCAUCAAGAAAGCAAUAAAAAGACUUACCUGCUAGGCGUUCAAGCAUUUGAUCCAUGAAUGGUAAUGGGAAAUGAUCUUUACGUGUAGAAAGAUUGAGCUUUCUGUAAUCAACACACAUUCUCCAUCCACUCGAGAUGCGAGUAGGAAUGAGCUCAUCAUUUUUGUUUUUUACCAACGUGAUUCCGGUCUUUUUGGGCACCACAUGGAUUGGCGCAACCCAUUUACUGUCAGUGAUGGGGUAAAUGACUCCUGCAUCUAACAAUUUCAAAAUUUCAGCUUUCACUACCUCCAUCAUAGGCGGGUUCAACCUCCUUUGCAUUUCCCUUGUUGGUUUUGCGUUGUCCUCCAAUAGUAUGUGAUGCAUACACAUUGAGGGACUAAUGCCCUUGAUGUCGGCUAAAGUCCAUCCAAUGGCCGUCUUGUGAUCACACAACAACUUCACAAGUUUUUCCUCUUGCAUAUUUGUUAAACCUUUUGCUAUGAUAACGGGAAGUGUAUUGUUGUCGCCAAUGAAUACAUACUUCAAAUUAUCGGGCAAAGGUUUUAAUUCUAACUCGGGGGCCUGUAAAAUAGAUGGCAAAAGCUUUUUAUGUGAGAGUACUAAAUCAACAAAAAUAUUACCAUGGGGAACGGUUUGCAAAGCUUGUAAGGCCAAUACUGAUUCGUGCACGUUUUGGGGAACACACACGUGCCUCUCCAUCUCUUCUAUCUUGGUGAAAUCAUAGCCAUAGCUCAAAGCUAUGCUUAAUCCGUCUUCAAUCAAAAUCACAAACUUGCUGCACACACUUAUCAAUUUGAUCAUAGCAUGUGAUAGAAUAAACAUUGCUAUAAGGAUAUUUCAUUGCAUCAUGAAAAUUGAAUUCAAUUUUUUCAUCUCCUACCUCCAUAGACAAGGUAUCCUUACCACAAUCAAUCUUUGCGUUGGCGGUUUUCAAGAAUGGUCUCCCAAACAAUAUAGGAGUGCUGGUUGAUGAAUCACAAGAAUCAUGUUCCAUAUCAAGAAUAUAAAAAUCACAUGGAAUAACCAAACUAUCAAUCUUGACUAGGACAUCUUCUAUCACACCAAGUGGGUAAACAAAACUACGAUCCGCAAGUUGUAUUACAAUGCUAGUUUUAUUCAAAGGCUCUAGACUAAGAGAAUCAUAAACAUGUUUAGGCAUAACACUAAUGGAUGCACCUAAAUCGCAUAAAGCUCUUUUAAAACUAGCAUUACCAAUAACACAUGGGAUAGUAAACGCACCUGGGUCUUUUUGUUUCAAAGGUAGAUUCUUUUGAACAACGGCAGAUACAACUUCACCCAUACUUACCGUUUCAUGACCUUUGAGUUUGAAAGCUCUCUUGGUAGUACACAACUCCUUCAAGAAUUUCGCAUAUUUGGGAAUUUGCUUGAUAGCAUCAAGUAAAGGAAUAUUGAGUUCUACUUUCUUGAAAACCUCUAAAAUCUCUUUUUCUUUGUCCUCUUUCUUUGACCUAGAAGAAUUCACAGGAAAGGGUGCAAUUGUUUUAAAACUGGAAUUAAUUGAGUGAGAAGUUACCUUUGGAGUGUUGGUCUUUAUUUCAGUUUGUGGAGGAAGAGGAUGUUCCUUCUUUGUACUCAAUUCAGUUUCUAUCUCUUCUUCUUCCUCCAUCUCAAUUUGUUUCAACCUUUUCUCUUCAAGUUCUUUCCCACUUCGCAGCAUGAUUGCACUAACAUUCUCUUUUGGAUUUAAUGCUUGGGAGGGUAACUUUCCAUUCAUUUGUGCUUCCAAUUUUCCUACACUUGAAGCUACUUGCCCCAUUUGCUUUUCCAAGUUGUGAAUACUGGACCUUGUUUCCUGUUGAAAAGACAUGACAUUUUGUUGUAAGGUUACAGUAUUAGAAGCCAAAGUUUUCAUCAUCUCACGAAGAUCAUCAUUGGAUGAUGACCCCAUAACAUUGGAGUUUGUUAAUGGAGGGGGUUGUCUUGCUUGAUAAUUUUGUUGGGGCUGAAAUCCAUGGGGAUGGAACUGUCGGCCUUGAUUGCCUUGUUGGGAUGGGUUGCCAUAGCGUAAGUUGGGAUGAUCUCUCCAUCCAGGAUUGUACGUGUUGGAAAAGGGAUCAUAUUUACGCUGGGGCUGUCCGUUGAAUGUUCCAUUAAUUGCAUGAGCUUGUUCAAUGUAGUCUUCUUGCAUUGUUGGGCAUAUAUCCGAAGCAUGUCCUUUUAAGGAGCAUAUGCUACAAACUUUCACCUGCUGCACAUUUCCACAAGCCAAAGAACGCACAAGAGAAGUAAGAUCAUUAACUUUAUUUUCAAGGUUAGAAAUACUUACCUCAUUCACUCGUUUGUUGGAGAAGUCUCCACGAGUGCCAAACUGUUUUGAGUUGGCUGCCAUGUUUGAGAUCAAUUGGCGUGCAGCCUCGGGUGUCUUAUCCACCAAUGCGCCUCCACUUGCAGCAUCAAUGAUACUACGGUCAGUAGGCAUCAAUCCUUCAUAGAAAUAUUGAAUGAAUAGCUGAUCGGGUAUUUGAUGAUAAGGACAUUGAAUGCAGAGUUGCUCAAAUCUUUCCCAAUAUUCGGAGAGUGUCUCUCCAUGAGAUUGCCGAAUCCCACAUAUUUCUUUCCUUAUGUUGGCAACUCGAGAUGCUGGAAAAUACUUCUCAAGGAAAAUCUUCUUCAUGGCAUUCCAAGUUCCAAUAGAUCCUGGGAGAAUAGAGAAAAGCCAUGCCUUUGCUGCCCCCUUCAAAGAGAAAGGGAAAGCUUUCAACUUAACUUGUUCUUCAUCAACUCCAUUCAGUUUCAUGCCAACACAAACCAUAUGGAACUCCUUGAGAUGAGUAUGAGGAUCUUCUCCUGCAAGACCAUUAAAUGUUGGUAACAAAUGUAUAAAACCAGAUUUGAGCUCAAAGUUUACAUUAUUGUCAAUGUUUAUGCACAAUGGUUGAUUUUCCACAUUAGGAGCAGCAAGCUCCUUGAGUGUUUGUUGUCGUGCAAUAGCCAUGGUGUUGAGGCGAGCUUCCUUUCUUAACCUGCGUAAAGUGCUUUCUAUUUCAAGAUCAACCUGCAGUUGAAUUUGAUUAGUAGAACGGGUCACAGGCAUAAAUUGCUAAGAAAACUCAAAAGAAAGUAACCACACAAGAGAUCGAAAACAAUGCAAAUUGUACGAAAAUCCUACGAUAGAAAACUAAAACUGCCUAAAAACACUAGAAAACAGCGGAAUUUGGCCUCAAUAGGGUGGGGCUAGUGAUAUAUCACUAGUCCUGUUCAGAACGUCGUUUCCCUUCAGGAAAAAAAAGGAAGAUACCUAAUUCCACCAAAAACUCUGUUUUGAACAGUACCGCUGCCGCAGGUGAACAGUACCGUCGCAAGCAAAAAUUCUGUUUCUCUUUUUUUUUUCAGAAAUAUAAAUAACAAUCACAACAACUAAAAAUAACAGUACAAGCACAAGAAUCAACUAAAAUUACCUCCCCGGCAACGGCGCCAAAAUUUGUUGCGAUGUCGCGGUCGCACAAAUUAAUUACCCUAGCUUCAAACACAACACACAAGAUAGUAUAGAGCAAGCAAGGGGUCGAUCCCACGAGGAAGUUUCAAGUCAGAUUUUUAUGUUGUACGUUAUGUAAUUGGGGGGAUUUGGUUUGUGAUUAUCUAAACUAUGGCAGCAAUUAAACUAGCAAACAAAAUCAAUUAAAACCGAAACUUAUCAAGAAAAUAAACCUUGGUCGCAAGCACACAUCCACCAACGGAAAUUAGAACCGAUCCUUGAAACAAAAAUUGCAGUUUAUAUUCUGAAAUUUUAUCUUUUCUUAACGUUGAUUAAUUAACGGAUCCGCCGUAUAACUAAUCCUAACCAACAAACAAUCAAAGUGUCCGCACUAAUGAUUCAAUUUAAUGGUAGCUUUAAGAACUAGAUAAUUUCAUCAAGAUUAACAUACAAGCUGUCCGCAGCUUGUGUCACUUUGUUCAAAUGUUCUCCCUAAGUUCAAUAACGUAGUUCCGCCACAAUUAUCAAGCUUAGUUGCUUCACAAGUUCAUAUAUCACAACUCCGGUUUUGAUAUUAAACUUAGCAAUAGAUUGUUCACAACAAUAACUUAGAGUCCGCUCUAGCAAUCAUCAACAACAAUCAUAGGAAAUAUGCAUAGGAAAACAAUGAUACUCAUUCAUAACAUAAACUGAAAAUAAAAGGAAGAAUAAAUCUCACGGUUCUUGAAAUCCGAAGGUUUGUUGUGUCCUUGCAACCAAGAAAAGAGCUUAGCCUUGCAUAACUAUUGAACAACUACUUCUAAAGAAUGAAAAGAGCAUGAUUUUUGGGUUUGUAGAGGAGAGAAUUUGUGUUUAUUCUCUGCUGGCUGCUGCCUCCUUCUGCUCUCCCUCUUUUCUGCUGGUUGCUGCCUCCUUCUCUCUUUCUUUUUAUAUGCUAAGAAACCCUAGUCUCUAUUUUACAAAAUAGUCCUUCCUUGAGUUGGGAGUUUACAUUUAAGUACUUCAAUAACUAUUUUUCCUAAAAGGAGAAAUAGCCUUGCAUGAAAUCUUCAAGCUCUGACUUAGAGGAGCUAAAUUGCUGAUAUAAAAACUUGGAUGUCGGUUUAGAUGCUUCGGAAUGUAAUUUGGACUUGUUUCUUCACGAAACCUGUUUGCUGGCAGAAUUCAGUUAUCAUCUUUGAAAAAUCAUAUCUCCCUCAUAUGACAUCUUUUUUGGCUGAAAUUUGGAGCGUUGAUAGGUCUUUAAGUCAGGAAUCCACGAAAAUUGAGUUUUCAUUAAUUGGACUUUUGUAGCUCCAGAUAUUAAAUUUUGAAUGGCCAAAGGUCAACACUGGCAGAAUGCGAGAUUUGACUUUGCAAGAUGUGAUUUCCAUGAUCUUUCUCUUUUUAUUUUUCUUGCAUUACAUUUACAGAAAGGUAUGGAUGUUAGCUUUUUAGUGCCACUGGAAUCACUUCAUUUCGAUCUCUAGAACUCACGCUCUGCACAAAACAUCAAAUCUGCCAAUUACCUCCAAUUUACUCCUUUUUGCAUCUUCCAUCCAAAAGUGCCUUCAAAACAUAAAACAAAGAAUAUCAAGGCAUUAUAUAUAUAAAACAUAGGCAAAACACUAGGUAGAUGUGGGUGAAACUAUCGAAUAAUAUGGUUACAUCAUUGUGGAAGCUACUGUUAAAUGCCGACGGAUUAAGUCCGUCGGUAAGUCUGUCGGUGAGUGUUUAAAAUACCAACCGAAUUCAUCCGUCGGUAAAAUCCUUGGUAAUAGUUUUUUUCUUAAUUUGUUUUUAAAAAAUUAUUUAGGAUAUAUAAUAUAAAACUAUAUAAAUUAAUUGUAAUACAAACCAAUUAUGCAAAUAAAAUUUAUAUUAAACAUAAAAAAAAAAACAAAGUUAAAUAAUAUUCAUUACAAACUGAAUAUGUUUCAAGAAAAAUAAUAAAUGAAGUUUUAAAGGUAAAUAAUGUUGAUUACAAAUUAAUAUAAAGAUGAUGGAGCUUGAGGAGGAGGAGGAGAUCGUGGCGGAGGCUGGUGGUUAUACGGCCAAAAAGGAUUAGGCGCACAUGUUCCGCUAUUUGACAAUUUCAUAAUCAUUUCGUAAAGCUCGUCAUAAGCCGCUUUUUGCUGUUCCUGAGCCGCUUCAUACUCCGCUUUUUGUUGUGCUUGAGACGCUUUGAAUUGCUCAGACUCCGCUCUUUGUUCCGCUCUUUGUUGUGCAUGAGACGCUUUGAGUUAUGCGUACUCCGCUUGUAGGUUAUCGUAUUUCUCGGUGAGUUGCUGCAAAGCCACGAACUCCUUAGAUUAGGAGCUCGAUAUUGAUUGGGAGCUCCCAACAGUUGAAACACUACGGGUCGACCGCAAGUUGUCGGUCGUAGUGUUGGAGAGCCCGUAAACCCGAUUUUUAUCGGGUCCACCUGACGAGCCAACCUCCAUCCAUAAAUCCGGAUCGAAUUCUGGAUGGGUCAAAGUAUCGUCCCCGUAUCUCUCCCUCAACCGAUUAUUAUAGGUCUCCUGAAAAUAAAAUAAAAAGUAAUCAUCAUAUUCAAUACAAUAAACAUAAUAACUUACAUAAUAACUUACAAAAUAAAAUGGUUGAACAAACAUACCACGAAAUGCUGAGCACGGUUAUCAACGAACUGUUGCGCCCCCUUCUGGCGGUCUUGACUCCGCACGUGCGUCUCCACAAACAGCUCCAUCGGGCUCGGCUCACGUCCAAGAGACGCAGCCUAUAAUGAAAAAAGAUAUAUUAACAACAACUGAAUUUAACGAUAUAUUUCAUUUAAAUUAAUCUUACCAUCCGUUUCGCAUGUGCAGCAAACGGAACGGAGCCGCCAGUGUGAGUUGUCACCCCGCCAUGAAUUGGCCAAUUCCGGUUGCCAGCACCGGACUGUGAGCGUCGUGUGAACCGCUCAGACGUCACGUGCUCAAGAUAGUGCGGCCAUAUAUCUUCCGGGAUGUAUAUCGGUUUGAAAUCCCUCCAAACCACAACAUCGUUCCAGCCUUGGAAACCCCUAUCCCUCGCGGUUUUUUUGCCUUUUUCUGUGCUUCAUACCUAAAAUCACGCAACCAAAAAUUACAUUUCGAAACAUAAAUUUUUGUCUAAAAAAAAUCAUGUAUUGUUUUCGAUCUUACCUAGUUGCCGCGUGAUUUUCCCACACCCUCCUCAUAACAGUGUUAUGCUCAAUGUCCCAGCAGAAUUUGUGCUUUGUAUAAAUAAACAAGUUUAAAUAAAAAUAAUAAUUUAUUUACAAUUAUAUUAAUAAGCUGAAAAUUAUAAAUUAAUACCAACCUCAAACCUGUUAAACCAUGCAUUGAUUUGAGGCAUCCAUUCAGGAUGCUUGGAUAUCUGACUCUAUUGAAACAAUGGAAUCUCCAUCGACGAUUUAAACGCCGAUGAUAUUACUCGGGCGGCUUCAAUGUUUGUGAACCUGAAAAUAAAUGAAAUAAAUUCAAUAGUGAUUACUUGAUAAAUUAUGUUGUAAUUUUUUUAAAAAAAAAACUAAAACCUUAACAAACUUACAUUGAAAGGUCGUCCUUCCACUGUGCCUCGUACUUGCGGGUAAAUUGAUUCCGCUGCGAAGGCACGCCGCCUCUGCGCUGUGAAGUACCGCUGGAAGCGGCAGCAUCGGUUGACGGCGCAGGUGGUGUAGGUGCCUCUUCUUGAGAGGCACCUAAGGAAAUAUCAUCCUCGCUGCUAGACGAACUAGCUGCGACCGCACCUGAGCGACCAGCUCUGGUUUUCGUUCUACGCAUCUACACAAUUUGAUACAAAUAAUUAUAUAAUUAAAUUCAAAUGUAAAAAAAAAAAUUCGACAGCACCUCCUCUAUACCGGAUACUACCCAAAUCCACAAACCUGCACAUAUUAACAAUAGCCACAACCAAUUUACCCAAUCUAUACUAAUUAUUCCAACAUAUUCAAUCACUAAUCCUAAGGUAAAUUCAACAUUAAGAAUUACAAUUCAAGUAAUUAUUCAAUAAUUAUGCCAAUACAACAAAACAAUAAAAAAAUAAAAAAACUGUAGAAUAACAAUCAAAAUAAAUGGAAAAAAUUAAACACAAAGCAUGCAACAAUAGAGUAAAACUAAUAAUUAUUCCAACAUAUUCAAUUACUAAUUCUACGGUAAAUUCAACAUUAACAAUUACAAUUCAAGUAAUUAUUCAAUAAUUAUGCCAAUACAACAAAACAAUAAAUUAAAAAAAAAACUCUAGAAUAACAAUCAAAAUAAAUGGAAAAAACUUAAACACAAAUCAUGUAAUAAUAAAGUAAAAUUAAUAAUUAUUCCAACAUAUUCAAUUACUAAUUCUAUGGUAAAUUCAACAUUAACAAUAAAAAUUCAACAAAUUAACUAAUAAUAAUUAUGCCAAUACAACAAAAAAAAAAACUUCAAAAAAUUCAAAAAAAAAACUAUAUACUUUAGCAAUGAAUUAUGCAAAAAAAACUAUAGACUUUAUCUACAUUACAAAAAAUACACCAAAACAAAAAAAAUAACCAAAAAAAUAGCAAAAAAAACUAUUAAAGUAAAAUGAAAUCGAGGAAACACUAACCUUUUAAACCGAUGAAGAUGAUGAAGAAAACUUGCUAGAGAUUGGAGGUGAAAGCUUUGAAGAAUGGAGAGGAAAAAAAAUCAAAAGCUUAAGGUGAGAAACGAAGGAGAAGAAAAAAUGAACUGAACGGGCGGUCACUUAAACUUAUAUGGUAGUUUUACCGACGGAUAUAAAAUUAAUUAUUAUUUUAAUUUAUUCCGUCGGUGAUGUGUUAAAAAUCCGUCGGUAAAUUUUGAAUUUCGCACCAAAAUUUUUAAUGGCCCUCCAUAUUUUUCGUGGUCCGUCGGUAAUUCCAUCGGCAAGAUUACGCGGUCAGAGGCGCAUUUAAUGCGCAACCCUUUGAAAUUCGCGCGGUCCGUCGGUAAUGUUGUCGGUAAAAUUGAACCGCCGACAACUUACCGACGGAUUUAAAUUCGUCGGUGUGGCCGUCGGUGAUAGGGUGGCAUUUCAAGUAAUUAUUUUCGACCUCUCUGUGAAAUGCCGAUGGGCGUAAGGCCAUCGGUGUGGCCGUCGGUGAUUGGGGCAUUUCAAGUAAUUAUUUUCGAACUCUCUGUGAAAUGUCGAUGGACGUAAGUCCGUCGGUGUGGUCAUCGGUGAUUGGGGCAUUUCAAGUAAUUAUUUUCGAACUCUCUGUGAAAUGCCGACGGACUGACGUCCGUCGGUAUGGACGUCGGUGAUUGGGUGGCAUGCCAAGUAAUUAUUUUCGAACUCUCUGUGAAAUGCCGACGGACUAAGUCCGUCGGUGUGGCCGUCGGUGAUGUGGUGGCAUUUCAAGUAAUUAUUUCAUGUCACAAAAUAUAUCAUCCAUUAUCAAUAAUUAUUUCAAGUAAUUAUCUCAUAAUUGUGGCAUUUCAACUAAUUAUUUCAAGUAAUAAAUAUUUUGUGUUUCAAAAUAUAUAUAUAUCAUUCAUAAUCUAAAUUACAUGAAAAAAAGGGUUUUACAUAGGGCUUCAUUUUGGUAGUUAGUCAGAAUUUUCUUCUUCUUCGUCAUCAAUUGAAUUGUCAUCACCUUCAUCGCAAUCUUCACUAUGAAUAUCAUCUUCUUCAUCGAUAUUUGGUUGUCCGCUAGAGCUCAAAACAAAAUUUAACUCAUCUGCGUCAACAUCAACAAGACUAUCAUCGAAAACAUGAAAAUUUGAAUUUUCUUCCAAUUCAAUCGAAGGAGCAACUCAAUAUGGUUCAACCACCUCACUAACUUGAAAGACUUCAUCUCGCACACUUGUGUCUUCGUUCUCAUCCUGAACAACCUCGACACGACCCCGGGGUUUCGUUUUUAAAACGGACAACCAAUCCACUCUUGAUCGAUCCUUUCUAAAUGAAGGGGUGUAUGUGUAAUAAACUUGUUGACAUUGCUUUGCGAAAACAAAGACAUCGUUUAUGUUGCGGAGUCUAGCUUUUGAGUUGAUUUCGACCAGACCAUAGUGCGGAUCAACUCUGAUUCCUCUGUCAGUCGUGUCAUACCAAUAGCAUUUGAAUAAAAACACUAUAUUCUGCUCGUUAUGAUAUUGCAGUUCGACGACCUCUUCUAAUCUACCAUAGUAGUCAACUUCUAACUCACUACUAGUGGAUCCCUUAAUACAAACACCGUUGUUGUAUGUCUUUCUUCCUUGCCCGUAUUCUUCAGUAUGGAAAACAUAUCCAUUGACAAAAUACCCGUUGUAGCAUUUACAUUUUCUUUCAGGCCCCAGGCUUAGUAAAGACAAUGACUUAGGUGCACUCCUUCCCAUUUGAUAAACCUGGCAUGUAAUGUACAUCAAUAAACAGUAAAUGAACGAGAAUCUCGUAAUGACAUGCAUACGUACAGUAAUUUUGCAAGUUAGAAUGAGUUUGUAAUAGUGCUUACAUGUGUUCUGAACCACGUGGCAAACUGCUCAUCUUGUAAUUGAAAGAUCUGGGAUUCAGUCAGCUGUGAGUUAUUGGAGAGCAAAUAUUGAUGAUGUUGCCUGCAAGUGAUAAUGAGUAUAUGAUAUUACAAUAUAUAAUUAACAGUAUAUUACUAACAAAGUUUAAUUAGUAUAAACUUACUGAAUAAAAGGUCUCAGCUCAUCACAGUUAAAUAGAACAUAGUUGUGUGCUUGUUUGAACUCUAUUUCCGACAAAUAUCUUCAUCUUACGACAUUUUUAGGUGUGGGUCGUCCAGUAUUGGAGAAUAUUGACAAGUUCCCACUGGAAGGCACUUCACCGCCAUCAUCAUGCCGUGGAACGCGAUUGAUUCUCGUUCUCAGAUGAGGUUCGAAAUAGUACGAGAUAAAUGUUGAGAUCUCCUCAACAAUAUAGGCCUCACAUAUCGAAGCCUCAACAUGCACCUUGUUCUUAACCUUUUUCUUGAGAUUAAACAAGUACCUGUAUUGAAUUAAUUAAGUAUUUUCAAUUAAGAAAAACAUAGAAAAUACUUUUAUAUAUGAAUUACAUUUCAACUGUAAUAUCUAACCGUUCGAAUGGGUACAUCUAUCUAUAUUGGACUGGUCCUCCAGCUUUUUCCUCGAAUGGUAGAUGUAUAGGGAGAUGCUCCAUUGAGUCAAAAAAUGAUGGAGGGAAUAUCAUCUCAAGUUUGCAUAGUGUCUCGACGAUAUUCGUUUGAAGCCUCUCAAUGUGAUCAACAUUCAACUUGCUGGAGCAUAUAUCUCUGAAGAAAUGACUUAUCUCCGUGAGUGCAUCCCAUAUUCCCUUUGGCAACAAAUCACGAAAAGCUAAUGGGAUGAGUGUUUGCAUAAACACGUGGCAAUCAUGACUCUUCAUUCCAUACAAUCUGCAGUCCUCUAUAUUAACCAGCCUUGAUAUGUUCGAUGCAUGUCCAUCCGGAAAACGCAGACUCUUAAGCCAUUUGUAGACUAGCAGUUGUGCGUUUUUCUCUAACACGAAGCUUGCUCUUGGUUUUGCGACCCGUGACUCAUCAUAAACCAACUCCAUAUUUUUACGGUUACAGUAUAAAGCUAUAUCCAAUCUAGCCUUGAUGUUGUCCUUUGUCUUCCCCUUCACAUUCAUGACGGUGUUGAAAAUAUUCUCAAACAUGUUCUUUUCGAUGUGCAUGAUGUCAAGGUUAUGGCGGAGCAGAUUGGUCUUCCAAUAAGGAAGCUCAAAAAAGAUUCUUCGCUUUACCCAAUUAUGGGUCAAACCAAAACCAGGAAACUUUUGCUUACCUGAUUGAAGGCCAAACACAAUGUCACCGUACUCUGAGACAACAUCAUGCAAUUCUUCACCAGAAAGACGCGGGGAUGCAACAUCUUUUUCAACUCUGCCAACAAAGAAAUCUUUUCUAUUCUUUCUGUACCUGUGAUGAAGUGGCAAGAAGCGACGGUGACAGUCAAAAAAAGAAGCUUUACCUCCAUUUGCUAGCGUGAAUGCCUUGUUGUUUUCCAUGCAGUAUGGACAUGCGAGUUUCCCAUGCGUGCUCCAACCAGAAAGCAUUCCAUAAGCUGGAAAAUCAUUGAUAGUCCACAUCAAUGCCGCCCUCAUAAGGAAAUUUUGUUUCCUCGAUAUAUCAUAAGUCAGAGCUCCGGAGGACCACAACUGCGCCAACUCAUCAAUCAACGGUCGAAGACAAACAUCUAUAUUCCGCCCCGGGCUUCUUGGACCGGGUAUGACAGUAGAUAAAAACAUGAACUCCGGCCUCAUACACAUUCCCGGUGGCAAGUUAUAAACUGUGAGUAUGACCGGCCAACAAGAAUAAGGAGCAGCAAAUGACCCAAAUGGGUUGAAUCCGUCUGUACACAACCCAAGACGCACAUUCCUUGAUUUAGCUGAAAAGUAAGGAUGAACACUGUUAAAGCGUUUCCACGCUUCGCCGUCAAAAGGAUGAACCAUCACUCCAUCAACCGCAUGAUGUGCUUGGUGCCAUGUCAUGUGCUCAGCAGUCCUUGGUGACAUGAAUAACCUUUGCAGUCUAGGUGUGAUCGGGAAGUAUCUAAGUUUUUUAUAUGCCACUAGAGUCUUUCCCCUGCCAGUUCUAGGUUUGUAACGGGAAUGCCCGCAUGUCAUGCACUCGGUCAUCUCAGCAUUUUCAAGGUAGUAUAACAUGCAGAAGUUAGGGCACAUGUCAAUUUUCUGGUAUCCUAAACCGAGGGGUUUCAUCAUGGACUUCGCAGCAUAGAAGUUCUCUUUCAGCCUGUUCCCUUCAGGUAAAAUGCUUCUUGCCCAUUCAAUAAUCUUGUCAUACCCGGCCUCACUCAACCCGUGAUCUGACUUGAUGGUGAACACCUGUGCUACGACCGAUAAUUUACUGUGGUUCGUGCAGCCAUUCCAUAAUGGUUCGUCAGAAUCUUUCAACAAAUCAAAAAACCUAGCUGCAUCUACAUUAGGUUCUUCUUCUACGAUUGGACAUUGACUGCCAUUACCUUGAUUCAUUCUCAUUGCAUCCAUAACCAUAUUUCUGUAAGGAUUAGUGUUGUCAUUUGCCGUUUCAUGCACGUUGCUAGCACUAGAAGUAGACCCAACCACCGUUUCUUCCAUUCUCCUCUCACUCUCGCUAACAAAUACUUCUCCAUGUGCAUACCAACACUGGUAAUUCUCCAUAAACCCUUUGUGUAGAAGAUGCAUCAUUACAACAUCUGGAUGCAGAUACUUUUUAUUUUCACACUUCCUGCAUGGACACCUAAUACCGCCUCCAGUAAAAUUUCUGGGAAUAGAUGUUACGAAAUUAAUAAAACCCUGAACCCCAUUACAAUAAUCCAUCCUCCGCAAUCCUUGGGGUGAAUCUCGAUACAUCCAUGAACGAUCAUCCAUCACUUAUAUCGAACCUCUAUAAAAUUAUGAUGACAUCAUGUAUUAAUUAACUAAGUUAGGUAAAUAAACUUGUAAAAAUAUUACUUUAACUCGAGAUUAUCCAACAAACCAAUCACAACUUCUCAUAAAUAUUAAAUAUUCAUUAUCAUUUAUCAACGUCCAUACGAAUUAAAAUAUAUAAAUUUACGGAAAUUACCACUCCGCAAUACCAUUGAUAAAACUUUAAACGGGCCCAUUAAGCAAGCUAUUAAUUAUUUCAAAAUAGCACAUGUAAUUCAGUAAUUCCAUAAAGAAAUAACAAUUUACAAACAAAUACAAUCUUACAAAAUCUAAAACAAACCAUAACAGGUACAAAAUUAUACAUUCAUAUACUGCAAGUUUGUUUGAGAAAUAACAAUAAAACAUGUACAUCUACUAACAAAAUACAUAUACUAAAAAAACAAUAAAAUUGACAUUUAAUUAAAUGUUAAAAUUUAAAAAGAUAUAAUUACUUACAAAAAUUGAUAAAAUCCGUCGGUAAAUCAGAACACGCGCGGAUGCUGUGACCACAAAACUUCAAGAAAUAUAACUUGUUGUGCUGAUAUGAGGAAGAUUUUUUUUUGGGGGGGGGAGGGGGGGCUGGUUGUUUGCAGAUGGGGAGAGUUGGGAUGAGGAAGAAGGAGAAAUAGGGGAUGAGAGGGUCGGCAGAGCUGUCAUAUAUUAACUUUUUCCGACGGUUUUACCGACGGACACUCCGUCGGUUAUUCUGACGGAAACAUAGACAUGUCACCGUACGGAUCUGCAAUUUCAAAUCCCUCGGUGAGUCCGUCGGCAAUUUAAACGGCGAACCGGUCACAUCACUUUACGGGCACUGUACGGGCAGUCGUUUUGAAUCCGUCGGUGAUUCCGUCGGAAAAAAAUAACCCGCCAAAACCUCCACGUCAGUGACCCGCCUUUUUUUUAAAUUCGAAAACUUUUCCGUCCGUAAUUCAGUCGGUAAAUACCGACGGAAAUUUUCCGUCGGUAUGUACCGACUGAAUUACAGACGGAAAAGUUUUCGUCAGUUUUGACCGACUCAAUUACGGACGGAAAGUGGCCGUCGGUAAUUUCGACCUCAAAAUACCGACAGAAAAUAUUCCGUCGAUAAAUCCGUUGGUAUUUAGCGAAUUUCUGAUAGUGGUGUAUCCACGUCACUUUUGUCACCCAAAUACCUUUCUUUCGGUUCCAUGUUGUGAUGGGCACAUUACUGGACACAGCCAUGCAGGAGCUGUACUGUAUAACAAGCAAAUUCUAUCCUCCAGUACAGUUAGUUCAAUGGCAAGCUGGCGUUGUGUUAUUUGGGCAAGGGAUUAAUUUGCUUACAUUUUGAUCUUCCAUGCAGACUGCAGGAUCUGUCCCUUGGUGGUGGUUAUGUUUACCUUACAAACAACAUUGUAGUAAUCAAUAUUUAAAAAUAGUGCUUUCUGAAUUUCCAUAUCUCAAUUUUAUUAUAUUACCUGUAGAAUAAAAGAAAAUACAAAAAAAAUUCAUUAAAAUCACGUUUUAACCACAAAAACAAUCAGUCAUAAAAAAGCCAACGUAGAGAAUCAGAAUUAAACAACCGCAUUUUUCUUCGGUACCAAAAGUAAACAAAUUGGCCCUGUUUACCUUCUUUUUCUUUUUCAUUUCUUUUCCUGUUCUCCCUCUUUUUUCUUCUUUUUUUGCAUCCCUUUGUUUACUCUCUCUCGUACUUCAUUUUUUCUUUUCUUUCGCAUAUUUAAUUUAUUUAUUUUUGGUUGCAAUCUAUCUGUGCAUCUUUAUCUCUAACAUUUAUUUUUCUUUUUUCUCCUCUAAUUUAUACACAGGAACAAAAAAAUGAAAAGGCAAAAAAGUGUGAUUAAUUGUAUUAAAACACCAUUUGCUAUACACUUAUACUAGAAUUAUUAGUUUUUCUCAUGUUCUUUUUAUUUCUUUUUGUACUUAUCUUCAUGUAUUAAUUUGAACUUUUCAAAUAAUUAUUUCAAUAAAAAAUUUAUAUUUUUUUUAGGAUACAUUAUAGUUUAACACGAGAAUCACAUGUGGGUUAAUUAUGAUUGAGGAGCUGCCUCGAUUCCCCUUCACCAAAAGUUAACAAAUUGGCCCUUCUUCGUCUUCUUUUGCACCCUUCUCUUUACCCUCUCUCUUUGGCCUUCAUUUUUCCUUUUCUUUCACAACAACAAGAAGUUAAACAAACUCCACUGACUCAAGCAAUCAAAACUCAGGUCAUUUAUGCUUGAACUGUAUGCCAUUAGCUUUCUGCAUCCUCUAGCCUCGAUGAUGAAUCUGAUGUUCAUUCCAACCCAACCCGAAGUCAGACCAGUACCAAGCAGAUACACCAUAGAUA
rnacentral:lncRNA from 1 species